rnacentral:lncRNA from 1 species
GCUGAAUCUGAGUCUGGAUGUGUCACUCCAUCAGGUAAGAGAGAUUAAUGUGAUCCAUGAGUGACCUCACCAGAUUCAACCACAGCCCUUCACAAUGACAGCCACAUAGAAAAGAGCCAAGCUGCACAGAGUGAAACCUAUACAAGUCUAUUGUGGUCCCCUCCCGCCCUCUGAAUCCAUGACAGAGCAGCCAUCGGCCAUGUGCAGAGUCAAUGUCAGGGUUGGGUUGCAAUAGAGAAGAGAAGAAGAGGAAAAGAAAAGCAGAGGGAGAGGGGGAGAGAAGAAAAGGAGCUGUUAACAAAAAAAAAAGAAAAAGAAAAAAAAAAAAAGGUUGGAGCUGGAGUUGGAGGAGGGGAGGAUGGCGUGAGGGGGAGAUUUAUGGGGGACGUUUAUUACUACACAGAGCUGCCCCGGGGAGGUGAGAGGGGGAAGAGGGGAGGGGAGAGAGAGGCAAAACAUUCCCUUUCUUCCCUUCCUCUUCUUUGCCUACACAGAAGCCACACAGGGGGUGGAGAGCUUUGUCUCAGCUGUGGAGGAGGCCGGGAAGUUGUUGUUUUUGCUCUGAAAGAUUGAAAAGAUAGAAUACAGAGCUUAAACGCAGCCUAAGUUCUCCUCAAGAUUAAGUUCUAACCUUUAGGAAAUACUUCUCUGUUAAAGGAGUACAUGUAACAUUCAGCAAUAAGUGACUUUUUCUGGACCUGGGUGUGUGUUUUAACAUAAAAAAGAGUUUUACGAGCCAGGCCUGCGUGGAGUAAUCUCCCCCCAGAGUGUUUUCGCAGACGACAGGGUGGGAUGACAGACUUGCUGGAAAUCACGUCUGCAGUUCAAAGGCCCUGUCACUCAUUGAUUAAGUGGAUCACAUCAAUUGGAAUAACUACAGCAGGGAAGAAGGAGGGGAUUCAGCAACAUGAAAUGACCUAUAGAGGGUGUGAAGUGGCCUAAAGAACUUGCAAUAUGUCACACAUUAAACACAGGGUUUAUUUCAGUCCAGUAAAUGCAAACAGAUAUGCGUACAGUUUGAACUCUCUCCAAGGUCAGAUCUCCAGAACAAAACCAUCAUCUGUGGUGGAAAUGUCUUCUUUUUUUAGCGGGACCUUGGCCUCAGAAGUCUCGUACACUCUGCUUGUUUACUUUAAUACUCUCAGAUGCAUCAUCGGGCCUGCCUGAUAUUGUGAGAUGAAGUUAUCUUUCCAGGUUCGGAGGGAGGAGGCACCUGUUUCCUGCCAAAAUGAAAAACUGAAGAAGAAAAAAAAAAAAAGGGCAGAAAUGCAGCCUCUUUCUCAGGGGAUAGAGUGUAGUGUGUUCCUGUUUGAACAUGUAGACAGUAAACAGCUACAGACACAAUUUUGACAAGGUGUCACACAGAUGCUGAAGAAGUUCCGUUUGCUGAAAGAUCCUUGAUACACUGAGUCCUGGUGGUAUUUACAAAUCAACAAAAGGACAGUUGCGAAAGAUUACUGCAAUGAUUAAAAUUGCUCACAUAUGUCAUAUUUUUGUUAGAUUACUUGCCAAAAAAGUUCCAAUUGAGCUCUUGGAUUGGAUUUGUUGUAACUUGAUGAUUCAACUUAAAAAAGAAAACUAAUUUUUAAUCAUUUUCAGUUUAUGAAAUCAAACCAGAUGAUUGAAAGCUCUGUCAGAUCCUAUUGAAUUAUAUUAAAUUGUACUGUAUCACUCGUACCUCAUGGUAGUGUAUCGUCAGAUCGUAUCGUAUCAUCGUAUCAUAUCAUAUCAUAUACCAUAUAGCGUAUAGCAUGUAGCAUAUUGUAUCAUCUCAUAUAUCAUAUAGCAUAUUGUAUCGUAUCGUAUCAUAUCGUAUCAUAUAUCAUAUCUUAUCAUAUCGCAUUGUCAUAUCUUACCGUAUCAUAUAGUCUCACUGUGUCGGGUCAUAUGAAGUCAUAUUGUUCUGUAUGGCAUCAUUAGGCAUUGUAUCCUCUUUAGUAUUGUAUUAUGUCCUAUACAGGAUCAUGUUAGAAAUCUUCUCAUGUCCAUACCCCUUUCUACAGCAUCAUAUUAAAUCAUAUACUAUACUGUAUCAUGUUACAUCCCACUGUCAAAUAUUGCAUUUUUUUCUAUUUUAUUUUAUAUUUGAAAGAAAUACUGAAAAGGGUUAGCUUUAAGGUUGUAUUUGGACCCCACAGACCCUGUCAAGUAUCCAAAUUAGUCCAAAAUGCCCCUCUGAAACCAGAGAUGGUGUUUUCAUAUAUUUCUAUUCGUCCAAAAUCCUUAUCACUCUGUAAAAGCACCAGAAAUGGUUGAACAUUUGGUUUGAAAAUUUGCUAAUAGGGUUGUCAAAUUACUCACAGGUUAAAUGUAGUUGACUGACUGAUUGUUUGAACUUUAACUUCUAAAAAAAAUCGAAGGAUGUAAUAUUUAUGAGGUUUUCCUGUCCCCCCGUUGACUUCCAAAGCAAAAACAUAAGAGGAACAAUUCGUAUCUCAGCCUUCAGGCAGGAUUUUCCUCUCCCUGUUGACAGAGUGGAGUUGAUUUCUGAGGAUUUGUGCUCCUCGGGUCAAGGCUGGUCCUCCUUUCUCAGCUUGUAUCUCCUAUCAGUCUCAGCUGGAGCUGCAGUCACUCACUCCUCAGAUUUGAUUUCUGCCUCCUGCUCUCAGAAGGGAGGAUGGGGAUGAGGCUUGAGGUCACUGAUAACAUUUAAGUGGGAUGACUGGAUGUUAAAUCUUUAUCUAACUCAGCAGGAGAUGAAAGAAAGCACAGAAAACACUACAAAUUGGAAGUUAAAGCAACAGUUUGCUGUAGUUUCUCCUUGUGGCCAACAGAGGGCAGAGUUUUUCCUUUCCUCCUACCUCAGUUCUUCUUAUUUACACUUCUCUUUUUGCUGUAUUUAAAGUGUCUCCAUGUUUGCCUUAAGCAUAAAUUUAGAUAAUCAGGGUGAGAAUUUCUAAGAUUAGAUGAGCAGGUCAGCACAUUCAAACAUAACUCUUUCCUUGUGUGGCUUUGAGGGUGAAUGAAGACUCAGCACUGGCCCGAGGCUUGUGUAAUCACUCUUUUCCACUGACACAGUUACUUACUAACCUAUUAUGAAGCAAAGAGACUUAUCAGCUACGAAAACAUGAAUGCACACACUGGUUGUUCAGCAAAGUCAAGCUGAGUCGAACCACAUCCCACUUAGUUCAACCACAGUCUCAUUAAACGUUUGCUUUAAAGAGAACGAGUCGCUUUUACUGCCUGAUACAUGAUGUUUACUCUGGAGGCUGAUAGUGUUCAUGAUAAACACCAUUGACUGAGCUGUCUGUUACGUACUGCUGCUUUUAAAUUCUUAUUAAGUUGAAUUUCCAGCUGAAAUGUUUGUUUUGGAAGAAAUCAAACCCACACACACCCAAACAAUUCACAUGCACAAUCGCUGAACUUGAGCAGCUGUAAGUGGAACAACACCUCCUCUGUAGUUUCUGAAACCCGUAUAUUCCAUUGUAUGUUUUUUUAAUGUCAACUCAAGUUACAUAAUAGUUUACAUUAAACUCCUUAUUGUAGGAUUCCCUUUGCCUCCCUGAACACACCAUGCCAGCUCAACACUUUAAAGCUACUGUGAGGAGUUUUCAAGUGGUUAUGAAACAGUCUGAAAUCAACAGUGAUAGCUCUUUGUGACCUACACAGGCAAACAAGGCCACCUAUGACAAGAAUGACACGUACUGUGAGGUAAUUUUUUAACACCUGUAAUUACUGUAAGGGGGUUAGGUUUUAGAGAUGAUAUACAGCGCUCUGAAAAAACCACCUCACGUUAUCUUUUCCAAAGCAGAUAUUCACGUUUCACUGCUGAAAGACACAUUUUCUCAGACAACACGACUUAAACAUGUGCAAGACAAAACUAGUGCAGAUGAAAGAGGCGCCACUUUGUCCACAGGCAGACAGACAAAAAGUCUACAGGAGCUUCAAGUAGGACAAAAUAGAUCAUAACUUUUGGUCACAGCACUGCUAGAUUAUUCCCUGAUUUACCAUAAAACAACUUAGUAACCAAAGGUGGAUUAUUUUUAUUACAAAAUAAAAAGCACAAACCCUUAAGGGAGUUUUGACUGACUGUGAUGACGUCAGCUACCUGAUGCUAGUAACAUUUUGUACGCUAGGUUUUUUGUGUUAAGAAUUUUUAUCCAAUACCGACACUAGGAAUGUCACAGUACCAGACUUUCAACUCAUUAUUAUUCUGCCCACAAUAUAGUUCAAUUAAAGUAGUACUAUCGCAAUAGUGAUAUCAUGAUAAGGGUAUCAUCGCAAUAUUUCCAAACUCGAAAAACAAAACAAUACAAUCAGUCAAACUGAAGUAAGGCAAGACAAGGGGGUAGCAGCACAUUACCUAAUAAACUUAACAAAUCUGCAAAAUUACCUUAUAUGCCAUCAUCUUCUUUGAGUAUUUGACUUCUCCAAAGAGGACAAAAGGUUAGGAGCCUGUAGAGGCACAAACGCCAACAGUAUUUCUGAUUCACUACAAACCCUGAACAUCAGUUUUGGCUAACUCACUAGCAUACGACGAACAUGUCAUUGAUAUGUAAAUGAUUGGACACCCUCAGUCAUUCUCUUAAGUACCCCUAUCAGUACAAUUCCCUCUAGAGUAUGAGCGCUAGUUUAGAAUGUCUACAGAUGAUCACCCGCUUAUGUUAAAUACUUGAUUCUGAUUGGUCAAAACCCUGUAACAAACAUGAUUAUUUCUCUACAGCAUAAGUAUUGAAGUUGUCUUUUCUGCUGCUGUUGGUUCAAGAGAGACAAAUGUAGAGUCAUGAAUCCUUGUGACGUAGAUGUACUUUUCACCCCUAGAAGCAUGAUUCAUGUUGUAUUACUGUCAGCAGUGGUUCAACUUCUAUUAAAAGCCAUAAAUUACUCAACACACCUUCAACUUCCUAUUUUCUAUCAACCUGUGAGCCAUUAUUUUGAAACCCUGACAGGACAGCUAAUCAGCUGCUGAUUGUUGAGCAAUCAGCGGUGAAGUAGCGCCAAGUCUGAGUCUAUGUUGUCAUCUUUCAGCCCACGUUCGCUGCGACACGGCGUGGGUUUAGUUUCUGUAUACAUUCUCCUCUUCCCCAACAUCCCGAGUUAAUGCGAUCCGGUUCUUGUCUGUACGAGCUUUGACAGCCAGAUCAGCAUGAUUGCUUGCUUUCAUGUCUCAUGGUAUGUUUGCCAAAUUCAUAUGGGAGGACUGUGGUCAUCUCGCUGGGUGAAGCUAGCCUCAGAGGCAGGGAGAGAAAGAGGAAAAAAAGGAGGGAAGAAAAUAAGAGCUAGAAACGAUUAAUUGUCCAUAAGAGUAGCCGCAGCAUUGUUAGUGGCUAACCACCGGCUGCUCUUGCUCAUGUUGUUCCCAUGAAUCGCUCCAAACAUGCCCAUCCGCUCACUUCCACUGCCCUCCGUCUCACUCUGGGUGGGAUGCGGCAUCAGUUGGAAUCUCUUUGACACGUCACAUCAUUACAAUCAGAGUUCAAAACAAACACGGUGUUGGAAAUGAGACUUUCUGGGCCUUGUCAGCGCCGGUUUGCAGUGAACUAGAGUAAUGAUGUUUUGGUUAACAGCGAAGUCGCAAAAAUAGCAACAAAACAAGAAAUAUGAGAGGGUCAGCAUUUAAAGGAGAUUUACAGUCCAAUUCUCCGCUGACACCCGGUCUCUAGAGGAGGGUUGUAUUUAGAACCAUAAAGGCCAGCUUCCUCUUCUGACUUCCUGACCCGUGUUUCCUGAGGAACAAUCUCUCCGUCUGUCCGGAGGGCUCAUGGGAAGGCAGAGUUUGGUUUUCCACUGGCGCAUUAGGGGUCGCGGAGGAAGAGGCAUAGGUCAAAACCAUCAAGUGACAGAAAAGAGACAGUCACCGCAGAGAUGGCCGAUCGUGGGCACUCGCAGACCUUAGACUGUAUAAUUAAUUGACACCACAGCCACCAUGACGUCACGCCGUGGUUUUCCAACUGCCUAUUUGAAGUGUUGACUUCAGUAUUUUUGCCGCUAUGUUGGUUUUGUUUGAGCUAGAAGUGGCCAUGAUUUGACACAAGGGUGGAGCUUAGAGGCUGACUAACAGUUUAUGCCAAUGGCUUAUUCAUUAGCUGGUGAAUGGUUCAUUACCAGAAUGAGAUUGUGUCAGAUUUAAGAGACGAUCAGAGUUAAAUAUUCAUGAAACGGAGGAAGUAAAGAGGGAGCAUCAAAUCAAAUAACCCAUGACUCAUAAUUACAGUUUUACCCGAGAUUUCCACCACAUCUGGAACGGCUCCGAUCUGGAAUGGCAGCGAUUUUUGUCAUACACCAAUUCCUACCGGAUCCGUUUGUGAGGCAAAUUUUGUGGCGGAUUCAGACAGCAGGAAUCGCGAUAAGUUGUUUAUUAGCCACAGAGGCUAACCAUAAAAGCAGUAGAUUGUGUCCUUCCAGAGGAGGAAAUCUACUUCUAGACUUCUAAAAUCAGCAUCCUCUCAUCCACAGUGUCAUUGGGAUGAAAUGCUGUCUAUUAACUUUUCACUUGUUCGUACUGUUUUAUUUUGAAAAGAAGCCGAAUGUUUUAUUCUGUGUCUGUGCCCGACUUCCUUUCCAGCACAGAUUUAUCUGUGCUGAAUUUAUCCGGCAUGCUCCGGCAUCCGGAAAGAAUAGGACUCUUGCAAUCAGCUGCGGAGUCCGGCGUUCCGGAGCAGAACGGAAAGAAGCCGGUGGAAAUUGACACAUUAACUUGAACGGUUACGAUCAGCUAUGAUCGGCGGUUACGGCCUUUUCUUAGCCAUUCUGGAUGCGGUGGAAAUUGGGGGUUGCACUCCUUCACAAACAAAGAAAAGUAAACAACUGACAUCAUUCAGUAUGUUUACAUGCACCGCUAAGCUAGCUCAAUUAGGAGAAUUGACUGUGGUACUUUCCUUGACCCAGUAGCCUCUGCUAAGCUAGGUGGUGCUUCCACACAAAUCCAACACUAAAUGUGAUUUUUCAGUGUAUGGACUCGCAUACUUUCUGCCACCCCUGCAGAAGUCUGUGCUGGGCCACCCCAGCCAGUAAAGUCUGGACACACCCCUGUUAAUUUGCUCAUACCUCCUCGCGAGUCGAUCAUGAUAAUCUGCUCAGUAACAGGUGGAUCCAUACUGAUUAGAGGAUUCUGUCGGUGAAAUGUCAGUGUUACAAUAAAAGACACUUAGACUGUCAGUUUGAAGUUUCUAUUCUUGUGUUUGCACUGAAGAAACUUCCUUUUUCAAUUUAAGAGAAAGGCAAACUUAUGAACAACAUUAUGAAGGAGAAAGAUGUACACACUUGGAGCUGAAUCAGCCAUUUUUGUGCCCACUUCUCCCUUGGGCUCUGUGAGUCUCCACCAGGGACCGGGCAGACCUGACCCUGGUCCAGGUGUCAUGACCGUGCUGCGGACACUGAAACCAGAUAUCCCUCCAGCUCCUCUCUCAACACAGGGCGAAAAUCAAUGGGCUUUGUAUAGACUAGAAACAGUGGAAAGCAUUCUCUGGCCAGAGAAAAUCCUGCCCCUCUCCCAUCUGUCUCCAGUCUCCAAAGCUCCCAGACCUCACAACCGGCCCUGUGUGGUCACUCUUGGACUAGAAUUACACAGUCCAUGUGUCCGGUUUUGGACAAUGCACAAAAAAACAACCGUCUGCGUGACCCCGCCUACUUUUCUCACAUGUAGAUUUAUUGAAUUGGACGCGUCUUCUCUCUGGUUAUUGAUAAUCUGUUGACGAGGACAAACUCCUGACACGGUUUCAGCUUGUGUUUGACAACAGCUCGUCUUAUUGCAAAUAAAGACUCUGGACAUGAGCUUUUGAUGGCGUGUGAACUUAUGCAAGCAUGUUUCUGAUUGUAUUAUGAAGAGCUGUGAGAAGAGGAAAAGUUGUUUGUGAGCCGUCCUCAGUCGACCCAGUGCAUAUGGAGAUGUCGAAUUCCUCUUCAUCGUAGGCGUGUGAUGAUUUAUUGUGAAAAACUUUGUGUUUACUGUUGCUGCAACUCUAAUUUGAUGCCUGCCAAAUAAAUGCCACAAAUGACAGUUACCUGCAGACUACUUGAUGAAUGCACGACUGCAGGACUUGUCUGGUUUGUCGCACUGUUUCUGAUUUGUUUUCCUAAACUACUUUCCAUGGAAAAUGGAAAAUUUUGGGCCCAUUAUUUGGACCCUCGGAGCUCGACCGUAGCUCAAGAAAAUACACAAGGCGAAAGCAGAAAAAUCAAUUCAACAACACAUGCGGCGCGUUAGUUAAAAUGCCGCAAAAAGCAAGUUAAGUUUCAAAUUGACAACACAUAACUGGCUCAAAGUGUUGCCUGUGAAUGCAACACAAGUCAGCCAAAUACAGGAACACACUGGCUGUGUUUUCUCUCUCUGUUGUUGAUCUGGAGCUGUGAUUUCUCUAUCUGCUCGCUGCUUCUGUGUUGUAGGUUAUUGCCAGUUCUUACAUUUGGUUUCAUUUUCCACAUUUGCGGUCCUGUUUUUCAAACUGCUGAUCUUUUCUGGUUUUCGUUGUGUUGUUCUGAUUGUGGUCAAUUUCUGUAUUUAGUUCUGCUUUCUACUUUUGCAUCUCAUUUCUCCUGUAUUUAAACAUUUUUCCUCCAUGUAGUUGGUUUCAUUGUUUGUAAUCAAGUCUGUUUCUCCAUUUUAAGGAGUUUUCCAUAUCAGCACCCGUUUCUAUAUUAAGGCCUAUUGUUUUCAACCGUAUCCUGUUUCUGUGUAUGCAUAUCUUCAUUUUAAAGCGAAUUCAGUUUCUUCUGAAAUCUCACUUUGCAUUUUUUUAAUUUAAAAAUGUUUUUCUAAUUUAAAUCAGUUUAACAUGUUUUAUAGUCAUCAGGCUUAUCAGCAGAAACUUCCAGCAACUUGUACACAUUCAUACAUGAAUGCAAAUACUAAACAAAGCAGAUACAGCAUCUACAUUGUUGUUUGUUUUGAAUCUAUAAUAUCUUUAUAAUAUAUUAUAUAAAGAUAUUAAUAAUAACUUUAAUUUUAUUGCACUUUUAAAAACAGAAGUUUACAAAGUGCUUUGACAAACAGUUGCAAAGCACAGAACAUCAGCACAUGGAAAUAAAAACAAAUAAAAACAAAAGCUUGGUUAAAAACGAGGCCUCGAAUUGAGGGCUAUAUGGAAUUAAAAAAUGUUUUGUAUAAAUAAUUCAGUGCUGUGAGUUUGAACUGAGAAUUAGGGCCACAUUUAGAGUGAAAACUAAUGAAAACUUCAAUAACAAAGUCUUAAAUUUACAAGAAAAAUACUGUUUAUUAUUGAAAUUCAGCAAAUUAAGUAAAUCUACACAAAAAAUUUGAACAUUCAUGAGAAUAAUGGUAUAAAAUUAAAGGAUAAAGAAAAAAAUGUGUUUAUUUUAUCUUUUUUCUGCACAUACAGAUGCACUAGUGCGCAUUUACGAGAAAAAAAAAUGGAAAUAUACAGAAAGACUUCAAUUGACCAGAUAAAAGUUGUAAUCUACAUGUUUAAUUACUUACAGGGUGACAAAUUAAUUAAGGUAGGCAGCCACAUUCACAUAUAACUUCAUAAGAUGCCAACUAUUCACUUAAAAUCACAAGUUUUUUAAAUUGUACAACUUUUAUCUCACAAUUUUUUGCCUUUAUUCUUGUAAAUCGAAGACUCUCAUUGUGUCUUCAGAUGUAUCUGCUGAGGAGGGGUUAUGAAGCGCAGCUCAAGAAGACCUGGAGGUGUUUGAACGUUUUUUGAGCUGUAAAAUGUAAACUCUAUGAAGCGACAGGUGUUUCACCUUCGGCGGCAGAUUAUCCAUCUGUUAAACUUCACCUCUGCCUGUCUUCCUCAGAUGAGAAAUUCUUGUAACUUCUGCUAUUUUCGUUCUCAGUGACCUGCUUUGACUCCUAACGAGUCCAGAGAGAUCUCGUGAAGUUCCUCCGUCCUCACUUUAAUGGGAAGUGAGGAGGAAAUGAGCAAAACCAAUGCUAUGUGGAUGAAGAUCAAGGAGCCUAUAUAGCUGAACGGUUUCCUCAGAGGAGUAUGGACUAAUGUUCUUGCUGUGGCUAGAUUACAUCUUAACUCUUUGAUUGUACUUUCACAAAAGCGACUCUAAUCACUGCAAGAAAACAACUCGGGGGGAUUUUGCGUGAUUGCCCACAGCCCUAACAGCAAAGCCCCAAAAUAGAGUCUGAUGUCCAAGAUGAGUCGAAGCUGCUUCUUCUUUUUUUCUGCCUUUUGCCGUAAAGAAAAACAACCCACAAGCUCUUUGAGGCUGGUCCAGUCCAAAUGCCCCCAACUGUUCCCCACUCCGCCUUCUCUUUCUCCUCUCCCUCUUUCAGACCGUCUUCUUCCCUGGCAAUGAAAGGAAGUGCAGCUGUGAGGACUCCUCCGGGCUGAAUGAGAAGAAUCAGCCCAUUUGGUUGACUUUUCCUGGCCAAAGCUGUAAUUUUCUGUUGCCAGGUCCUAACAUCCAGUCCAGAGCAGUUCCUGGGCUCCAGCCACUUGUAUCCAACAGGACAAUGGGGAUUGUCCUGCAGCCGUAUACCACACAGGGGUCCAAUUGCCUGUCUGCCAAAAAGUGGAAGCACCUACCGGUUCAGACCCAACAACUCCCUUCCUUACAAGUCAAUUAGUCCAUUUUUGAGCUUUUUAAACUUCCAGGUGGACACAAAAGCUACUUGUUCAAAAAUGAUUGAAACCAAAUGUUAAUUUCUUCAUGCUACCGCCGGGUUAUGUCUCAUUUCAAGGUACUGACGCUUAAUUUCAGAGAUAUUCCUUCAAACGAAAGAAACCAAACUGAAAACAAGUGGAAAUAUUUCACCCCACUGGCACAGUUUCACUCCUCAUUUAAGAACAAUAGAGUCUCAACGCUGAUUAUGUGACUUAAUGGCUUGUCAAGCCCGAUGUUUAUGGUAAUUUGACCGAAAACAUGUGUCAGCAACUUUUCCUUUUUUCGUGAUAUGGCGCUCUUUCAAGCCAGAAGCGACUGGAGUUUGGUUUAAUGUCAUUAGCAUGUGCUCAGAAACAUACACAGCCCCGCUUGUGUGUUUUUCCAGUAAGCACAAUUAGUGUCACGUCAGGCCCAAAUGGCAGCUCAGUCAGCGCAGGAGAGAACUGACAUUAUUAGUGUGUUGUGUGUGACAAGCCCAAUAUGGAAACACUUCUUGCGCUUGUUAAAUACUUUCUGGUUCCCCUUCUCUUCUUUUUUUUUCACUCUUGCUUUUUUGCACUCUUAUAGGUCCUACAAAGUCUAGUAAAAUCCAAUGGCUUUCCCAGAAAUGAAAGUUUAUUGUCCCCCUCAGCCCACCCGACUCGUAAAUAACGGCACAUUUACCAAAAAUCCCAAGCCGGCAGCCCCCACCUUCACACCAUUACCAGUGCGACUGUACGCCAAAACAGCUGCCAAAAUACACCCAAACAGUCCCCCUUUCUCCUCAUUGAAAGCUUCCAACUGUCUGUUACCAGUGUUUACUCCGUGAAAGCCCUCCAACUCCACACUCAAGUCCAAAUUCAGCUGGAUGAGAACUGUGUGUACACUUUUAAACUCCUCCUGUCCUCAUUCUAAACUUUCUUUAUCAUAAUUAAGCCUCCUACGUGCUUUAACACACGUUCACACGCAUCGAAAAAGCAGACUUUAAACCGUGUUGCACAAGCCGGGGUAUGUUCAGUUUGGUCCAAGAUUAAUAAAACUCACCGCAGGAUUUGCAGCCUUAAACUGAUUAGUAAUAAAUGAGUCACAACAUGAGCUUUCGUUUUUCUAAACUGGGCUUUCCGAAACGUGAAAGAAAGCAGUUUUUUACUCCGCUUUCAUGCUGGCGUUUGUUCACACGUACACCCUGAGAAAGCGAGGUCAAGCUCUAUGUGAGACACACGUUCAGAUCUUCUGACGAAGCCAACGCGCCGAGCCAAUGAAAAUCAAAGAUAAUAUUAUGAAGAGGAGGACCGAAUGAGUUCCACAUGAGCACCAUCCCAACGGGGGACGCCUAUUAAUAAGUUUAAUAUGGCGACCUCAAUCAUUUACCUUUUAUUUUUAUUAAAAUCUCAGUUUUGGCUCGGCCUGCGCAGCUGUUUCAAGGCCUCGUGGGAGCUCACCUUGACCCGCUUUGAUCGUCAAGACAAUAAGGCUCUAACAUUGUCCAUGAAGUGGACUUAGAGAAUGGAGACAGAGUGGAAAUGAGUCAGAGAGAUAAAGCGUGCAGAUGUGGAGACCGAGGCUUGGUGUGUAGGUGGAAGAGUACAGUCUUGGAGCUUCCACUGUGGGUAACUUCACACUGAGUGACUCACCAUAUAAGGCGGGCGCUCAGCUGAAAUACCAAUGAAGAACUGUCGAAUUUCAACCUAAACAUGUUCCUUGUAUAGAUUAAUGACGCACAAUUUCGUGGUUUCAUUAGAAUCAGUGACGUUCAGACUAAUAUCAGACCCUGAGGGGAGGCUUGACAUUUCAUGAUCUUUGUGUUUUUGUCUGAGAGUCCCCACACAUGACACAGGAAAUGAGCCUUUCUGUUGACAAGCUUUCAAAUCAAUAGCUUCUACUGCAGCGCGAUCAGUUUAAAAAGUCCUUAAAAUAACAGUUAAAUACUGUGACACAGAUGGAUUAAGAGUGUUGAAACGAUCGCGUUCAAGAAGUCAAAGAGAGGGAUUCGAAGUAUUCAGUCGUGAUUUAUCAGCGCUGAGGUAAUAUUAAGGUUGGUGCCCUGGGAAUGUCUUUGCUUCAACAAGAUGCCUUCAACUGGAUAAGAGGGUCUGAAGCUCCCAGUAUGUUCAGCGGCGUGAUGGAUGAAAGUGUUCCAUCUUGUUUAUGCAACCUGACACAAGGCAUCUGCUGGCCUCUGGAGCGCUGGCUUCGCACUGUAACAGCCUUCUUUGCUCUGCGGCCUGUCAGACCGGCACACUCAGAUUACAGAGCUGUGUCAGAAGCAGGAGAGACAGUGAAAUACAAAUACACCUCAAUGUUUUUUGAAAGUGUGUUUGCGCUUUUGCUACUAAAUCGAAGACAUGCUACAGUACUCGGGUGAAUUAGGUGUGGGAGUUUGAGUGGCAGUGUCCUUUAAAGGGAUAGUCCUAUUAAGAAGUCUUUUUAAUUUUGCCUAAUUUCUUGAGCAAAGAGACUAAACACAACUCACCUACUCUCUUCCAGCAGCCACUUGUUUGAAGCGAGACCUUGGGCCAGUCCAUUUCGGACUACAGUGGAGUUUCGCAGCUCAAGGAAGAACAUUUAUGAUCAUUUCUUCAUGGAAAUGCUAUCAGACAGAGACGCUAAGGCAGAAGAACUACUUCGCCAGUAGUGCAAAAUGAUAAAUAUGAUGAUUAUUACUUCAAGGAAAUGAUCAUAAAUGUUCUUCCUUGAGCUGCGUCCCCCCACAUAUAGAGUAGCAUUUUGGUUGAGGUUUGUUUAUGGCUCCUCAGACCACUUUGGUAUCACUUGAGAAGUAAGCGGUUGGCAACAUUCAUCUCUCGAGGGGGUGUCUAACUGGGUGUUACAGUGUGUUUGACCUUGAAUUAAUUUUUCGCCGGAAUAUCCCUUUAAUGCUGUGUUUUUGUACUCGCAGUGCACAUGACCGAGUUUUCAGGGCGCUUCUGACUAGUGGAUUCUGAAAGUUGUCCCACAGCUGAGCGCUGCUGUUUCCCCCUAAGUUCAACUAUUUUCUACCAAGAGCGCUAAGAGUAUAGCGACAAAAACAAGCUAGCAAUUUAAAGUUACAGUAUGCUACAUAUUGUAACCAGUGACUGAAACUUGAUGGUUGAUUUGGUCCAGCCUUGGAAGCACUGGGUAGACUGAACUAAAAUGAGACAGGCUACCUUAAGAGGAUGGCAUGGUUGUGUCACUGCUGUAACCCUAGUGUCAUGUAGUUCUGCUCUUGUCACAUAGCAACAGGUGGCCACUUGGCUAACCAGCUAGCGCACCAUCACCAACGCUGCCUCUGCGAUCCGGGAAGUAAGACACAUUUUCGACAGGAGUCUUUGAUACAGGACAGCCUUGGAGGCACUUUUGUGACACAUAAGGGAUGUGACCUUCUGCAGCUCCUGAACUUGGAUACAGCUACUGCUUAUUAUUUGGUGCUUAUAUUAGUAUAGUAACCGGCUAGCUAGGAAGUAGCUGUGGGUAGUUGUAGUAGCAAUGGCAGAUGUAGUAAGCUAGCUAGUGUUUGUAGGUUGUGGUUGUGUAAGUGUUCGAAAUUUCAGACAUACUUCUAGCUAGCUAGACAGCAAGGUCAUACGCCCUUAGAUUCAGGAUGAGUCAUUAGUUGUUUUAUUUUAGGAAAUGACACAAAGAGUACCGCGAAUUGAUUAACAUCGCCGGGGUCAUUUAUGUGGUUAAAGGGGAAACAUUAACGCUUACUUAAAUUUAGAGAAAGUUGUCAUUUCAAUAAAGCUAAACCAAUCAAAAGAAGUCACUGAAGGCUGAACCAUAUUAGCUUUGAAAGAGGUCAAGUAGGCCUGUUCCUUCAGAGAGCUGUCAAUGGCCUUGUCUGGUACCUACGCCCUCGCAGUGGUUACAGUCAGUAAAAUCUGUCAUUCCUGUCAUUGAUGACCUUGUUUACUUUAGUUAAGUCACUGAAGGCCAUCAAUGUCAAUUUCAGCCUGUUUCAUAACCAGUCAAAAAUUCCUCAGUGUGGCUUUAAACACACAACACAACUUUUAACAAAGGGCUGACCUAGAUUUAUUUUGGUUGUAAUGCCUCACCCUUAAAAAAACAAACACCUCACAGAACAUUCGUAGUGAAAUCACAGCUUGUGCAGUCACUAAUAAUUCUGUUUCCUUCUACUUAAUGUAUCGCAGAUCUUCACAUCCAGGACUCAAGGUGUUCUGUGUUCUGCAUUAUUGAGCUUUAACAUUAAGGUUUAUUACUCGGAGUGUGAAACUCUAUCAAUUGAUCCCCUGAUCAUUCUCCUUGAUGAAGAAAACACGUUUCCAGCCAACUUCCUCGACUUUUAUGGCUUCAAGAUUGUGUUAUGAAUUCUGGGCAAGUUUCCGAGUUUCCAGCAAAAUCAAAGAGUGUGGACGCAACCAAGGUGAAAAGUUUGGCGAGCUAGCGCAGGUGUGGACAGAUGUGCUAAAAAAACUGCAGCUUUUUAUGGUUUGAGUUACCUCAGCCGAGCCAAAUCCUGAAACAAAACCUGACCAGAUUUCAGUGUUUAUGCGAGCGUUCGAACAGAGCGGUUUUGUUCUUCUCGGACUGGACAAAUAAAUAAGUACGUAUGGAAAAAUCUGCCAAAACAAUGUGCCUGUGGACAUGCUGUAAUCAUUAUGUAGUCAUGUAAUGUACCAUAAACGUCAAAGCGAGAGGCAGUGAUUGAGUGUGUUUGCUCUUGUGCGGGCUUGCUGUGUUUUUAAAUGGCGCUCCAUAUGUGAAGAAGCUGUCGGCCGCUGCUUCAGUAUCUCCUCCAUCUAUCCCCCGUCCUAUGACUAAUUUAAACAUAAUCUCCCAUUCAGUUUUUUCUCCUCUUAUUCUCGCUGCAGCUCCUUUUUUAAAAACACCCAUUACCGUGGGACACAAAUCCCCUCAAACAAACAUCUGCUUGCAUAAACUUCGGCGCUUUCUCUCCGCUGGUAGACAGUAUUGAAAUGGAAAAACAACAAGACAGAAAGGAAGAAAGACAGCUGAAGAAAGACAGAAGAGAGAAGCAGAAGGAGAUGCAGGGGGGGAAGGAGGGAGGGAGGUAGAGACAGGCCCUGCUCCAGUGUAGAGAGAAAGUGCGGAGUCAUGCUGUAGGAAUGCUGGAGGGGGGGAUUGUUGGCGUGACUGCCCCAUUUUUCACAGCCAUAAUCAGAGCCAGCUGUCAGUGAGAGGGCCCAUAAGAGGAGGGAGGCAGGGAGGGAGGGGGAGGAAGGGAGUGGGAGGACUGGGUUUUGGAAGAAGUUUGAAGAAGGGGAGGGGUACGGCAAGCAAUAAGAUGGAGAAGUUUGUAGAGAUUUUAUGAUGUAAAUCUAAUUCCUCUCUGUGUGUCUUCAGCUUUAAGGGUAGUGCUGCGCUGUGUGUUUUUUGUGAGGCUCUCCUUGCGUGUUUGCAUGCAUGGUAACACUCAAAAGCAGCAGAGGAUCAGACCGCGGCCUUGGCUCGGCCCGGGUGCAGCCUGAGUCAGGUUAAAGGAAGAUGCAGGGUGGAGUUUCCUGGUUUUCCCUCUGCUCCUCUUCAGUGAAUAAUGACAAAGCAGAAGCUCCAUACAAACAUUGAGGUACAACCUCUUUAUACAACACUGCAGGGGUCUCAAGAACAAGGAGUUUAAACCACGCACUGUGUCAUGCAAUUUUCAGAUUUUCUAUUGCAGAUUAGGAACUGUAAAAGAGCAUUAGGGCCACUUACAAAAAAGAGAAAAAUUUAGGGGGAAUUUUUUCAACUUUUUUCCAAACAUUCUGAGAUUUAAAUUGGGAUUCUGAAGUUUGUCUUAGUAUGUCGUUUUUAAAGUCAGAGUUUCGACUUAAAACUUCAAAAAAAUUCAAAAGAAGGAAAAGAAUAAAACUCUUCGUAAGAUUACGAGAUUUGUAAUUUUUUCCCUAAAAUUUAAAGCUCAUAAUUCUGAGAUCAAAAAUUCAGAAUACUGGAAGUUAUGCUGUGUUUGAGUUACCUCGGAAGUCAGAGGUCCAAGCUUAAAAAAAUUACGUCACCCCGAGUUGCCAGCAUUUCAGUUACCAAAUCGGGGAAAAAAAAGCUAUUAUUGAAUAGCUAUUAUUUUAGGUUAUUUUAGCGCUCGCCUUGUCCGAAUAUAAGCACAAGCACUAAAAUAACUGUCAUAGAUGUAGCCAUCUUGUUUCAGGCCUCCGAUUUUGCUUUUUUUUCGACUUGGUAACUGAAAUGCUGGUAACUCGGGUGUGACGUCAUUUCCAACUCUGACAUCUGACUUAGGAGGUCACUUGAACGCAGCAUUAUAGCCAAGAAUUCUGAAUUCUGAAUUAAAGUCAGAAUUUGGAAUCUGGAUUUUAAAGAACACAGAUUUCUGACCUUAAACUGAAUUUUGUAAAAAGUCAGAGAAAACCUUGUUUUCUUUUUAGUGACGCUUCUCCUUUUCUCUGCAGGAUCAGAUUAAUCUUUUAUCAGGAAUCAUUUUACAUUUCUGUCGUUGUACUCAACACACUUCUGUAUCUGCUGCUGCUGCUACCAGCUAUGCCAGUACUGCUGCAGUCCCACAGCUCCCCAUGUAAACUCCUGCUGUGUUUAUGUUUAGUCUGCAGUCAAACAGUACAUCUUCCUUCCACUAUAUGUGAAGUUCUUUAAUGUUUUGUUUCAGUUUGUCCGCUGUCCCGGGACAUGUUAACACCAAUGGAAGGUCAGAAACUCACGACCUUGUUGCAGCCUCGUUAGAAAAGUCUUGAAAGGAGAAAUAAAACAGGGAAAUAAAACUUCUGAGGUGAAUAACGGCUGAAAUGUUUCCUGGAGUAAGCUGUGGUAUUAAUAUAUUAUCAUAUACUGUGUCGGAUAUUUUUAUGACCUAUCUCCUAGCCUGCACUCUUUAACAAUGACAGUGCGAGGUACUUUAUAUAACCUCGGUGAUUUGGUGGAAAAAGACUCCAGUGGGAACGACUCGGCUUGUUGAUUUUCGGGUGAUUCAUGGCUGUUAAAGCGGUGACCUCCUCGAAGUUGAAGUACUGACUUUCCAGUUCCCCCCAAGACUUCCAAAAAAAUAGUGUCACUGGCUAAUGAACUUAGCAGCCACAACACUGAUCUCUUUCUUUUCCUAAGUGGGUUAAAAUAAAUUACCUUGUCGGUUGCAUAAGGCUCCAUUUGGACUAUAAGCUCUAGUUUUUUUAAGUGAACCGGUUCUCUUCAAUAGAGUGGCCUUCUUACCUGUCUUUGUUUUUAAAAAUAUCUCCCCCUUUGUAUUUCUGCAGUGAGCUGUCACUGCGGCACAAUGGAGGACGCGCCCAAAAGAAAACUGUCAAAUACAUCUUGCUGUCUGACAAGUUUUUUGAGAACUCCCCUUUUUUUGCCCACUUCCUGUACUCAGGUUUUGAUGUGAUGUGAGGUUAGACAAACACAGCAGGCUCAAAGUAGAAUUGCCCAUGACACUCUCUGAGAGGCCAACUAGCUUUAAUGUUUGCCCCUGAAAUGAAGAAGGAAAAAGCCCCAGAGGAUGUGGAGGCUUCUUUGAUUUUUAAAAUAUUCAAGCAAAAAGUGGUUUGUGUCACCUUAAGGCCACCGUAGACAAGCUUUAGUCCAACUUUAUUCUUAAAUACUCAUUAAGUUAAGUUGGUUUACAUGCUAAUUCAAGCCAACCCAUGAGUAAAGCUCAGUUUGGCAAUUUAAGUGGACUUAAACUGGGACUAACAUAUUCCUUUUCUUUAUUUAUUGCACUGUAGAACAUUAUAACAGCAGUGAGUGCUCCAAAUCUUAGAAAUUUGCCCAGAGUUGGAGGUGUUUGAUGGACAGAUAUGCUGUUCUGUUGCUGUAUGGACUGUAAACAUACUCUACUGAACUCAUUGAGUCUUUAUUUGCCAGGAUGUAACGCAUGGUUUCAUACUAAUGUAAUGUUUUGUGGGUACAUUUAGUUCUGCCCCCUGAGUCGGCCUGUGUCUCUGCCUGGGAGUUGUUUAUCAGACGGCCUGUAGCCUCUCUGAGCUGCAGCCAAGUCCAAAGUGGAGCGGGUUCAAACUCCGGACUUUUGCCUCUUUUGACAGAGUGUCUGCUCUGUCUUCAUGUGGCCCCGGCUGGUCCAUUAUCAGAAGCAGAGGGGCACUGUGACCCUCUGCCAGACCCUGAUUUUGGAAAGUUUAGAGUCUGCUCUGAGUCACUAGUGUGCUGCCCACGGAACAAAAGGUGAGACCACGUCUGGGUGGUUUCUAAAAACCCCUCGCUUUCGCUUUUUCACUGCAAGUGAAGCUGCAGACUCUUUCUUUUUCUCGUUUGUUUCCUUCUGAAUGUGUCUUUCUUUCUCUUUCUUUCAGCCUCGCACAAAGACAAAAACACACAGCCUGCACGCAACUUCUUGUCUUAACUUGUGAUCUCUGGCAUCUAUCUCACCGUGUACAGAUUAAAUCCAGGCUUAGAGUGUCUCCUCUUAUCAAUUGCUUCAGACUGAAGAUGAUUUCCGUCCCUUUUUUUUUUGGGUACUUUCCAGGACACUUUCUCCUGUUUGGCAAUCAUUUGUCUUGUUUACAGAGCUGCUAAAACCUGGCGACACCACAGGCCGUGACUCACGCUGUGAACCCGGGCGGUCGCUGGUUCAGGGUUCAGUUUACAAACAAUGUUGCACAAUGUGUCCUCUCUGGUCAUGGAUGCACUUUCGAUCUAAUCUGCUUGUUGAAAUCGGACUCUGUUAAGUUCACUUUUUCAGUUACUCUUUUUCUGAAUCUGAUGAAGUCGUUUCCUGAAAUGAUCACAUGAUAAAAGUUAUGAUCUGAGACAUUUGAAUAUCAGAGAUCCAAUAUUUAAUAUCGGAGCAAAUGUUUUAAAGUGAACAGAGGUUACCGUAGGACACUUUGGUCUUGACUUUACGAUCACGUCAUGACUUUGGCUGUAGGUUACACUUGAUUGCCUCUGCAUAACCUAGUUUAUAGUCUCGUAAAGUUUAAGGCAUAUUAACUGAGCAGGGGUGUGUCCAAAAUGGUGGCAAGGGGUGGCACUGCCCCUGUUUGACCGGCCACCCCAGAUGUAACCCUAUAUUUCUGAGCUAUAAUUAACUUUUUGCCGUUUUAGAGGUAGAAUUUGUGUUGAAAUCAACAUUUUAGAUGUGUGAACUCGACCUGAGUGUUGCCACAAGUUGCCUGAUUCGAUUCAUAACUUUUGGAGCUAGCCUCAAGUGGACAUUUAAAGAACAGCAGUUUGAAGCGCUUCCACAUCAGCUCAAAAUUAGUUGCUUAUUUUUACUUUAUGAUCACAUUAUGACUAUGGCUGUAUUCACUUUUAACCGAGCAGGGGUGUGUCCAGAAUGGUGGCAAGGGGUGGCACUGCCCCCGCUUGACUGGCCACCCCAGAUGCAACAUCAUAUUUCUGAGCUAUAAUUAACUUUUUGCCCUUUUAGAGGUAGGGUAUUUGUUGAAAUGAACAUUUUGGAUGUGUGGACUCGGCCUGGGUGACGCCACAAGUUGCCUGAUUUGAUUCAUAGCUAUACUGAAGUGGACACUCAAGGAACUGCAGUUUUAAGCGCUUCCACAUCCGCUCAAAAUCAGUUGCUUCUUGGUUUAAUUAAGCCUUGGUUUCUCACUGGCACUCGUGUUGACAGGCUGGCAGUCGUUUUCUUUGUAUUCAAAUGUCGCACUUUGUUUCCUCGAAUUGUGAUCUUUGACGAAAGUCUUCUUUACAGGUCCGUAGGGAUUUGAGUUUAGAGGAUUCAUGUGUUGACACCCUGUUUUGUUUCUUUUUAAAGUCAAAAAUCAAACGCAGGAAUUCGACAGCUGUAUGAUUCAUCUAUGAUGUGUGUGUUUGCACACAAACCCCGGCCACCCUCGUCAUUGUCAGCACCUCUGCUUGGCCACCCCGGUCGUAAAAGUCUGGACGAGAAUUAACACUUUGUACCAAGAGAUCUUCUUCCAAGAAUGGAGAGAAAAAGAGGAGAAAAAGAGGUCAGCGAGGAUGACGAACAGAUUGAAAAUUUGAUCCAGUUGUUGUUAUGCAAGUGUCAUUUCUUUUUUUUCUUUUCUGUGAACACAUGAAGUGCUCACUAUCAGCCUCGUGCUGCUUCUGUGCGGCGCAGCACAGGAACUUAUGUCACUUCCCUUCUUAUCUUCUUGAUGUGGAAAGAGGAAGCCCCCUUACUUUCCCCAGACCUACUUAUGUGAGCACCACUGAAUGUGUUAUAAAUACUUCAGAGCUGAAAAUCACCUGAAAUUCUCCUUUGAAACCACUUAUAAGUUUAAAAUUAACUUGAUUUCCUGACUCAUAACUGUCAGAUUUAACGCAGAUGUGUCAGGCCGUGUUUGGUGACGCGCUGCGGUGUCGUAGCACCUGUGUGCAGACCUAUCUGACAGGAUGUGGAUGGGGGUUGUUCUGUGUGUCUUCUUUUUUUUUUUGCAGGCUUUGCACACCCACCCCGGCUUUUCUCUGCCUCACACUGUACCAGUACUGCAGACUGUAUGGAACAUGCAGAGGAGGCGGCGGGCGCUCCACUCUUUGAAGCCUCUGUGUACAUAUGGAGGCAUGAAGCGUCUCACCGCUCAGCCGUUUAACCCAUUCAUGCCCACACAAGAAUAAGUUAGUUGCAUGAAAGAGCAAGAACAACAACAACAACAUCCUCCUCCAUUUGGAAAAUCCCCCCCUCGCUGAGGCCUUUCAUUUACUUAAAAGCACUUUUAUAUGCUUCAUUACCAUUUCCAUGAUGUUCAUGGAUCACCAUUCAGGCCGAAGAUCCUGUUAUUUAGGUCAGGGGGUUUGUUGUUCUGCAGCACGUCAUGGUGGUAGAAGCCCCUCUGUUUCCUUAGAUAUAUGGACUUUAAAUCAAUGAGUCAAGCCGCGAAAAACACACGAGUACAAAGAAGACCAAACGAUGAAUUCCUACAUACUAAAAAAGCAGGACUUGGAAAUCUACGUCUUCAGAGAGUCAUUAUAGAUUCUUGUUAGUUUAGUUUUUCCUGGUUUUGUAAUGUAGUUAUAUUUCCUGUGUAUUUUUCCUGGUGUUUCUGUUUUCUAUUGUUCCUGUUUCCCUUUGUUAAUUAUUCAUAUGUUCCUGUUGUUCUUUUCAUUUAGUUUUCAGUGUUUCCUGUUGUAUUUUGUAGGAGUCAAUCCCCAUUUGUAAAGUCUCGUUUUACUUCCUUAGUUUUCUCUCCUUUGUUGAGUACUCAGGAGUCUCACCUGUUGCUUGGUUCCCUGUCUUCUCCUGCUUCUUUGUUGGUCCAUUGUCCACACAUUGUCCUUGCCUGUCAGUUAGCUCUGCUACAUAGACAGAUGGGUUGUUAAAAUGAUAAUUCAAGUUCUUAUUUAACAUCAGGCAAGCCCUUUUCAUUAUGCUCUAUGUCAAACUGUCAGUACGGACAUUAGGGUUCAUUUGAGGCAAUUUGGACAACAUUCACAUCUAAAAUUAGGGACUUUUAUUGUGAAAGGAUUGUCAGAAACGCUCAGGUAAAUCAUCGAUAUAUACUUUUUUUUUGUUACCCUCAUGCUAACGUGCUGGUUUUGGUAUGUGGUGUGAUAGAUAAACAUGGAAAAGGCAGACUGUUGUCUUUAAUGAGUCAUGUUACAUGUGGAGUACCCCAAGGUAGCUGUUUAGGCCCACAACUGUUUUCUGUUUUUUAUUUAUUACGUAAGUUGGGUAACACUCAAUGCCUAACACUCAAUGCUAUAACGCAUUAUAAAUAUAUGUAUAAUGCAUUAUAAUCACGUUAUAGCACUGUAUAACUAAAGUUACAAACACUCAUAAAUGAUCAUAAUGCUUUAUAGCAAUAAUCGUAACAUAUUAUGAAGCAUUUUAUCAUGACUUACAAGGUCAGGUAUUAUAAUGUGUUAUAACAGUUAACAGCUCACUGACAAUGCCCACAUAGAUAAUGCAUUAUACAUAUAUUUAUGAUUUGUUAUAAUUUGCUUAUAAACUUGUAUAACUAUAGUUAUAAACACUCAUAAAUGAUCAUAAUGCUUUGUAAAUCAUGAUAAAAUGCUUUAAUAUGUGUUAUGAAUAUUGCUAUAAAGCAUUUUGGUCAUUUAUGAGUUCUUAUAACUAUAGUUAUUCUGUGCUAUAAUGUGAUUAUAACACAUUAUACAUAUAUUUAUAAUGUGUUAUAGCGAUAGGCGUAAAAUAAAGUGCUACUGUAAGUUUUAACGAUCUCCAGUGUGUCUUAGAAAAGGCCCACAUUACUGUAUCUAAUGUUUUUGUUUGCUCGGUGGGAUCUUUACAUUACCGUAGCAGGAUGAAGCUGCUAUAAGUAGAAAUUAGUGCGCUGCAGUCAGGCAUGAUAGAAGCUAAAUUUUGUUAUUUCUACAGCCCCACUGACUCCACUCCAAACCUUCAUUCAGCAUCGGUCACUUGGCCCCUGGUAAAGCGCGGAGGUCCAGGCUAAGUGGGUUUAAAUAGCAGCGUAUUACUUCCUCUGGGAAGCUGUUAAUGACAUCCACUGUCCACAAAAACAACCGCUGGAUAUCAACACAAGCAUCUUUGGGUCACUUGACCUCAGUUUUGUGCUGGAAAGUAUUUGAAAAAUUAGAGAAAGUGAACAUGCCCCUUGUCCAAUCAUAAGUCAUCAAAAUGUAACAGAGGAGGAUUUGUUCUGCUUUGGUGACUUGUAUUUAUUUCAGUCCGGGUUUGCAGGAAUGUACAGUCACAGUCAGCCGUGGUAGAGGGGAGUGGAGGGGGAUUGAGUAACACGCUCUGAAAAAGUUUGGGUCUAACUUAAAUGCAAAUGCUAUGAAAAUAAUGUACCCAAAUUAUAGCAACAUGCCCAGAUAAUUUCCUGCAGCGGUGCUUAAACUUUGCUAUUUCUGCUUGGCCUUGUUUAUUUUUGGGGGGAAGGGGCCGGGAGGACGGGGACUGUGGACACAUAAUCCUCCCAGAAAAGUGAUUUAUUUAUGAAUUCCAGUGCAGAAACUCCCCUCCUGAGAGCCGGCCUGCCUGCCAGAAGUCAUUGGCUGAUGUUUACAGGACUGGGUUGGCUAAUUCCCAUGGUGCAGUGUGCCUGCAGUGCUAUCUUAUUUAUACAAGGCCUGAUAUGGGAGAACAGAGGGGUUUAUUUUGGGAUAUUCCCCAUAGAUGGAUCCAAUUUCUCCAACUGGAGCGAUUUCCUCCAUACGUGCUGCGCUUCAGGUCCUAGCGGCGGUGAACACAGCUCGCCACUCGCUGGAGUUUAAAAGGGCUGAAUUGGCUCAGGGAGAAAACUAUGUCACAACAUCUCGAGGUUAGACUCGUGACAGUACGCUGAGCUCAGGGACUACACAGGAAGUCGGAUAUUAGUCUCAUCAGAAGUCCAUUGUUUCCCUUGUCAAAACAAAUUUCAAGAGACAAAACCCUCACUUACAGUUCAUUUAUCACCACAUUAAAAAAGAUCGAGUCUCAUUUUUUAUCUGCUGGAACGAAUAUUUUUUAUAUUAUAGGAUCAUGUUGUAAAAUCUGAAUGCACUCAGUGACAUUACCGGGGGAAUCGAAACCAAUUCUUUGUUAGUCAGACUUUUAUCACCACGUUACAGCUGUUGUCCCUGAAGUCUGGCCCACAUGAAGAGGAUUUUCACAGAUGUUGAAAAUGUGUGAGAUCCCACACAUGACGGCGCAUAAUAAUAGAUUUAACACGUUUGAUUUUACCAUGUGAAGAGAAACAAAUUCACAAACAAAGCUCAGAUCUAACAGACUUUACAACAACAAUCAGUGUUGUGCAAUUCAAGCUGAAGAUGAAUCGACUUGUUAACAUUUGUGGCUCAUUUUAAGUUUUGAGCUUAACUAAUCGUCCAAAAUGGGGCUUAAUGCACCUAAAGUGUUAUUCAGUGGAGCCUCCUGUGUUUCAGUUCUUAGACCUGAAUUUCUCUUUCGAUUGACUCAAUCUUGGAAAGCAAGUUUGAAAGCCAAGAAAUUUUGGUUUAAAAAAAAAAAAGAGUUUGCAUCAUUGAGAACUUAAAAACAAAUUUACGGGCGAAGAUUUAAUUUGUUGGCAGGAUAUUUGGCUAAAGGUUACGGCUUUAACAUCCAAACACACUGGGAAAAUCUGCUCUGUAAAAUACGAUGUGGUUCAUAUGGUUUUUACAGAAAUGCUGACCCAACAAACACAAAAAGUGAGUUAUUCCCUAUUUUCAAAAAGCUACACCUCUCUAAAGUUUUAGUCUGUGGGAAUCUGUCCUGAUUUAUCCACUAAACUGCUUCAGAUGUCUCGAAAGGUUGGCUUCAUUAGCACCGCUAACCGAGCACAAGUUGGUAGAAGUGCCAGGUUUUGUAAAUCUGACCUCGGAGUGGAGAGAAUGAGAGGAACCGAGGCAAUCUGAUGCCGGCUUUUAUAGCUAGUGUGAAGUACCAGGUCUAGGUGCUUGAAUAAAUUUGCAUGGAAGGUCUGUCAUAGUUGAUCCUCCAUUUCUGACUAUACGCUCCAUCUUUGUUGUUCUCAUCAUGGCCAAAUUCCUUGUGCUUCCUUCUCAGUUUAGUUUGUUUCCCCUUUGACUUCUGUUCCCCAAGAUAAUCCUCAGAGUACGAGCUCCGGUUUCCUCACAGCCCUGAUCAGACCUGCUCUUUUUGUACUGUCAUGAUAAAACUUUAAUUAAAGGGAUAUUCUGGCGUAAAAUGAAUUUAGGGUCAAACACACUGUAACACCGAGGUAGAUACCUCCUCAAGUGAUGAAUGUUGCCGACCACUUGCUUCUCUAGUUAUACCAACUUUAGUAAUGACAGCACAAUAGCAAUACACAGCAGUCUGAGGAGCCAUUUCUUAGCAAAGAGACUAAACACAACUCACCUACUCUCUUCCAGCAGCCGCUUGUUUGUGGCACGACCUUGCCAGUCCAUGACGGACUACAGCGGGGUGACGCAGCUCAAGGAAAAACAAGGAAGAUGAAUGUUGCCGAACGCUUGCAACUUUAGUAACGACUGCACGAUAGCAAUACACAAUAGCAUAAAUGUUCUUCCUUGAGCUGUGUCGCUGCUGGAAGAGAGUAGGUGAGUUGUGUUUAGUCUUUUUGCUAAAGAAAUCAGGCAAAGUUGAAAAAGAUGUUUGGUGGCUAGUGCUGUGGCUAGGACCCUGUAUGUACUGUUGAUGAAGUUAGGUGCUGUUCUGAGUAUUAUUUGUGACUAUAGAGUGGCGUUUUGGUUGAGGUUUGUUAAUGGCUCCUCAUACCGCUGUGUAUUGCUAUCCUGCGGUCGUUACUAAAGUUGGUAUAACUAGAGAAGGAAGCAGUCGGCAACAUUCAUCUCUCGAGAGGGUGUCUAACUCGGUGUCACGGUGUGUUUGACCCUAAAUUAAUUUUCUGCCACAAUAUCCUUUUAAGUUUUAGUUCUUAAAAGAUAAGAGUCGACUAAAUUAUAGUGUUGCUCUAAAUUUAUCUCAGCCUGAAUCAUGUAAAGUCAUCCAAACUCUCAGAUAUGCAAACCUUUGCCUGCUUGAAUAUUUUGCCGGUGAGUAAUUUUUGAAGGCAUGACGCUGAAUUAGGAACACAACUCUUCCAGUCUGUAAAUGUUUAAUUAUGAAGCACAAACACAUGCAGACAAGUGUUCAUAACACACCAUAUUAGUGAUGUUAAAGCAACAUCUGCCUUUUAUAAGCGCUCACGUCAUUAUCGGCCGGUCACACUUGUUCUGUUUGCUGACGUACUGCGUCUGCCAUGCCAGAAAAACACCUUGCACCUUCCUGUUUAUUUCUUUUACCGUCUCAGCUCUCUCUCUCUUCUCGUUCCCAGCCCCCUGCUGCUCUCCCUUCACAUCCGCCGGUGAUUUCAUGAUUACAUAAAGGGAUGAGGGCAUGAUGGGAAGGAGUUCAGAGCCCCGACACCCUGGCCCAGAUGUUUCCCUCGCUGCUUAGGUGUGUCAGUCGUCUUUAUCCGCCUGAAAGCUCAAAGCUGCUGAUGGGGCAGGCCUCUAUUACCAAGUUAGGCCAGAAGGAAAACUGUGCAAUCAUCUUCUCCUGCAUGGGGGGGCUCUUAUAACAGCUCUGAUCCUCAGGAUUUGGGGUUCACUGUAACAGAGUGGGCAUCUUAUAUAAUGGACUUUCAAAGUAUUUCAAAGUAAGAGCUCAGGCUUCAGAUUCCCCUGACUGCUCAUCUCUAAAAUUAAUUCGGCUACUUUUACUGGAUUCAUUAAUGGCGUUAUCCUCAUCUGGUUGAGGUAGCAUCAGGAGCCAUGAACUGAGACAGAACAAGAGAGAUCCAGGGUGAAGCCAAAACCUUUAGAGCUCCACUGAGGCUCCACUAGCUAAACAGCCUCACCAGUCCAAGAUGUCAGCACUUGUUAACAGUGGAGGUACGCUAUCUAGAGAUUUACAGUCAGUGGUCAUGGAUGGGUCAUAAAUCAUAAACAAUCAUAAAUUUAAUCCCAGAGAUGAGAGUUUAAACUUAGUUAGACUUUAGCGCUACAUGCUACACUGGUGUCCUCUAACAAAUAUCUCAUUAUUCUGACUUUUAAAUGUAAGAUUGAUCACUUUUUUUAAAUAUUUUCUGCAGAAAACAUAAAAAUCCCAUGACAUCAAAAUUACAACAUAAAAACGGUCAAUUUCAGUCUAUUUUCAGUUCAGUUCAGAGAACUUUAUUUAGCCUAAAGGGGGCGAUUAAUUUAUGGCUUUCCAGUGCAUAUUCAUUCAUUUAUACAGUCAGUCAAAAACAUAUAUAAAUAAUCAAUCAGUCAAGUGAACAUGUUUAAGCCUGAUGUCAGAUCCCAGAUGUCAGGACUUUAUAAGUAGCCUACAUCUUAAAUGUGUUUUAAAUGUUUUAUGCUGUUUUUAAUAUGAUUUGUAUGGUGACCUUGAGUGUCAAAAAGGCGCCUUCAAAUAAAAUGUAUUAUUAUUAUUAUUAUUAUUAUUAUUAUUACUUAUAUGAAUUGUAGGGCAAGAUAAAACAAGAUAGGAUAAAAAAAAACAAAAAACAAAAAAACAAGUGAGGUAAAAACAAGGCAAUGCAAAAACUUCAGAAAAAAAGUUUAAAAAUAGGAAUACAUGAUCAAUAAAUAAGAGUAAUGGGUGUGGUCUGUGUUUAGGAGGGAAUGAAAGACUUUGAGUACCGAUUAGUUUUCUUUUGGGGCGCAUUAUAACGUCUCCCUGAAGGCAUAAAAACAUAAACAUACAAAAACUUCUCACUGGAGUUUGUCGGGCAGCUGACGCUGGGGGGAAGUUACUGGAUAUUCUGAAUUAUGUCGUAUAAGGUUCCCUCAUUGUACAGUUUAACUUUAAGACUUGAAUUACUAGGAACCAGCUAAUCUGGCCAAAUUUCAAUCUACAAAUUUUAUAUAAAUUAAGAAACAUGAUGUUAAGAUACUGUCUGUUUUUUUCCUGGAGGUAAAUUAAGCUGUUAUUCAAUUUUCUUCUCCUAAAACCGAGAAACCCCAAACUCAAAACCUACGUCAUAUUUUCUUUGGUGAAACUGAAACUGGAUUUGUUACUUAAGUCAACAUUACAGUAAAGUCCAUGUUGUUUCGAUCCAUCUUUGUUGUUUUUUUCAGGAAGAUUUUCAGUUCCUGAGUUCUCAAGACACGCUAAUCCCACAGCACAGCAAACACAGCGAACAAAUGAUUACAAGAAUAUGAUCACAGUGUUUGGGUUUCUUACAGCCAUGCCCCUGGGACAGUGGUCACAGCUUGGUGGGAGUCUAGUCAUGUUUUAAUUCCAACUGGCUUCCUCUCUGGGAGCUGAUUAGAAAGUCUGUUGUUCAUUACAUGUUCAUGUUUUUUUUUAAAGGGGAAAAUAGAGCGAACCACCAAACGACUACUUCGCAGAGAAACACAAAGAUGCGGCUCAUCUCUGCGUUCUCCCCUGUAGGUGCACACGUGUGGUUUGCACCUGAAACUAGAUCUGCUGUUUACUUUCAGUGGAAAAAUACCCGACAGCCAUGGCAUCAGGAGGAAGUGCACAAGGAAGGCUGUCAGGUUUUUACAGGGUUAACUCGGCAGAAUUUUAAACUGCUGAAUCACUACGGUCUAUUUUUAAAACUGUGCAGUCAUUUGGUGACAGUCGACGCAUACGAAACUGACCUUCAUGAAAUCAGAAGCCACGGUGAUGAGUGACCUCCUGUGACUUUUUCCUGAAUAUAACUCUAUCUAUCGAUGAGUUUAAACCACAAAUAGGAUCCCCCAAAACCAUCUUAUUUGUAUUCUUAAGCGAGUCUACAUACAUCUACCAGGAAUAACAGAGCAUGACAAGUUUUUGGCUGAGAAUAAACUCUUAUGUGACGGGCUGAUGUAACUUGUUUGACACUCGGCCUGAUCCAAGUUUCCCUAUUGGCUAUACCACUUUUUCCUUAAGCGCUGCUGCACUGGGUUGGUGUCGUGAUUCCUUUGUGGAUUGAGGGGAAGUGGGAUUCAAGUUUUCAAACAGCCUGUUAAAAGUUGUUAUUUUUUAGAGGACUACUGCAAAUGGAUUGGCAGAAAGUUCCCAAAAUGUCAUAGGACUAUAAAAAAAAGCUUAUAUCCUCUAACAGGUAAGGAGUAGAGUCAGGAUUCAGGAUAGAGUUAGGAUAGUAAAUAGUGCAAAGGGAACAUAUAAAACACUGCAACUACAAAUUAUAAUCUCUUGAUAUUUUUGGUUAAUUUGCAACAGGUUAAUAAAAAGUCUGGAUUUAAGACAGGGAUUGACACUAACUUUUUACACAAGGGGCACACACAAAGAACUUUAGGGGCACAAUGAAAAUUGAUCAAAUAAUGUGUGUCUUAUUGGUCGACCUUAGAACUAUAAUUUGAAAUCAACUUUAGCUCAAUUGGUCACAUGACAUGGAAGCUAUUGAAGGAAAACAGCCUUUGUUUGAGAACAUCAAUCGGUAAUUUAUUGACGGUCCCUUGUUCAACACCCGAUGUUGACAGCGAGGGUGCCGAAUAGAUUUAACUGCGCUGCUGUUGCUAUUCCCGGUUAUGGAGAUUGAGAAGACAACGGUAGAUCCGUGAUGAAUGUCCGUCGAAUAUCCAACCUAAAUCUAACUUCACUUCUUUUUUUAGUCGCAAAUGCAAGUGAAACGGUCCCACUGUCGAGCCCUGCUUUCUCCUUUGUUUUUGACUUCAGACUCUUAAAAUUUUCCAGUUUAAAGUGAGACAUUUACACCUCUGCUAUAUUUUGUCUGAACUGUGUCAUAAAUGUUGGCGCACAGUUAUUCUACCUCUGAUCAGAGUAGCAACUGAGACCCGAUGGAGGAAGGUUGUGUUGGAGUAAGAGAGGCAGAACACCACAGUGUGUGUGUGUGUGUGUGUGUGUGUGUGUGUGUGUGUGUGUGUGUGUGUGUGUGUGUGUGUGUGUGUGUCUAUUUAAACUGCUUUGUCCAUUUUCUGCUGAGUCUAAUUUCGUAUUUUCACGAACGCUCUGUGCCCCAGGGGUCUUUGCUGCUGCUCUGCCUGCCUUGGCUCCUCAUGUGUGUCUGAAAACAGGCGCCUCAUGCCAAAUACAACUCCUUCGAUGCAAACAUGGCCCUGACUGGACUUCUUUUGCAGUGUGAUGUAAAGUAAUGUUUGAUUUAAACAGUAUUCAUGUUGAGUUAAGAUAGACGCUCUGUUCAAGCGGAUGAUGUAUUCUGAAUGUCUCGUAUCUUCAGGGGUUUACGAGCUACAUGAACCAGAUUGAUCUCAAAUCCCUCAUUUCACCCGGAGUCGCUCAUGAUUUGGAAAAACAGGUCAAAGUGAAGUUUCAGAUUUUCAACAAGCACUUUAAAGAGAAAAAUAUGAUUUCUCGGGGUCUGCUGGGUACUGUAAGGAACUUUUAUCUUUGAGGAGGGGAGCCAUGUUUUUCUUCUCCUUUAGACCAAUGGAAAUAAAAUCCAGCUGUGCACAUGGGAGAGGGGCAGGUAUUCAAGUAAAAAUAGAAAGUCCAUAUGUGCAGACGGAGUCCAGGGAACGAGGAGAUCACGCAGAAAAUGAAAAACUUCAUGCUUGAUUUAAGGAUAUAGUAUAUCAAGACUUUCAUCAAGGUCGACUUAUUUAUGUCUGAACUUUAACACCCAACGUCUUCCUGGAGGUGUUUUUGUCCUCUUACAUGAAAUCCACUUCCCUUUAAGCAUAUAUUCUCGUCACACUGGUGCUGACAUCUUCAGUGACUCACUCAUUUUGUUUGCAAGUUAAAGUGUUGAGCGUUGUUGGAGCGUGCCGCGGAGCUAACGCCUGAUGUCAUUGUGAAGUCGUCUGCUGUUUAUCUGGUAAUCGCAGCGCUGACUGGGUAAAACUGCGUGCCGCUCAGGCUCUGGUGUCUCGUUGUGGGGGUUAGUUGCGUGCUGCGCGUCUUCAUUACGAGUGUGAAUUGCGUGUAAAUGACUCAAACCGGAUUCUUUUGUCGUUUUUGUUCUUUAUUCUUCCAAACUCCUCUUCAGAGUCUGAGACGAAACACGAGUUCAAGUGGCUGUUGAAUCAAACCUUAAAAAUGUCAAAGACAAACUCAAAACAGCAGGCUACACCCACGGACUUAUUGAAGCCAUCAAGAAAUGAGCAUUGAGAAAGUUUCUGAAACCACUUCCUCGCGUUUUUUUUCUUUUUUUCUCUCUGCAAAAAAUUACAAUAAUUCAGCACAGGCUCGGUUUGCACAAACAUUUCGCCAAGUGUCAAGUGCUGAAUGACUCAGAUGAGCGCAAUGUCUUCAUCCUACACGUCUGAGGAGGCUGUUUUAUAAACGCUUUAAACAUUCAUGCAGAUUUUAUUUCCUUGAACUGGUGUAAACUUUGUAUUUUCAUGAAUGACCAACACAUCCCCGCUUGGAGAGAAUCCAGAUUUCUGUCCCUUCGGUUUUCCCUCAGGCCUCUUUCGGGAAAUGAAGCUGAUGAUUCAUGAUGUUCAAACACCCCUCUCUCUCUCUUUCACUCACUCCCGGCAUGAAAAUAAAUGACACAGAUAUAUGACACAUACUUGUUCUUCUCCGCCUCGGUUUCUGGUCUUACUUCGGCGGUGGAAAGUAGAUUCAUCAAGACAGGCUUGCCCUCCUGAUCCUCUCCCUCAAGCCCCUCUACUCUCUCGCUCACUAACCCCAAACUCCUGUCAAUGGUUUCCAGCUGGCUGUGGCGUGGUGGUUCUCCUGGGAGAGGAGAAAGAAGAAGAGGAGGAGGAGGAGGAGGAAGGGGGCUAAACUGGCUGCGGGCCCUGCCUUGCACACCGUCCAAGAGCUUUGCUCAACCCCCCUUUGACCCAACCCCAGCCUCGCUUUUUAUUUGUUUAAUUUGUGGAAAAACCCAUAAACAUUUUGCGUAUGAUUUGUGGAAAGCGGCUAAGCGGGCAGGAGGGCCGCGUUUGCGUUCGUGUUUGCAGUCCAAACUUCACAUGCUGAUUGUGUCCAAUGCCUUUAAUGAUGAGGCGAGGUUAGGAGGUAAAAAGGCAACAACUAUGAGCUGUUAGCAUAUUCAGCACCGAGCAGUUUGACGCUGGAAACUUAGGAAUCUGCAGAGGGGCUCUUCAGUUUAAGUGGUCUCUUUUAAUGUCUUGUUAUCUUGAUGGGUGCAGCACUUUGCUCUGGUGGCUGAAGAGCGUCUAAAUUUAGCAAAGACCAGUUCAAUAGCAGGGCACUGCUUGCGUCACCUUGGGUAAAUAUUUCUCUUUUUGGCACUGGUUGUGUUCCUAAAACCUCGCUUUCCCCCCAAAAAAACAUUCAGCAGAAAAAUGAGAAAAGGCUGAGCUUUGGUGGGGGCUGCAGGUGGGCUGGAUUUGGGAGUGAGUUAUUUAAAGAGCAGAGCAGAUAAAACCAGAACACAUGCAGGUUUAAUAAAGAAGUUUAAAAGACGGCCUGGAUGUUUGAAGAGGACAGAGCACACACUCUCAGCUCCGGGACUCGGUCUGUGCCCGAGUUUUUUGUAGGACGUUGUGUUUACCUUGCAGGAGUGACGGUGAUGACAGUCUGUUGUCAUCGAGGUCAGAGGUCGAAUAAGGAGGGGGAGUGUGUGUGCAGGCUGCUGAUGGAAGUGUGUGCUGCUUUGUCACUCCUCCUGUCUGGUCAGAAGGCUGAGUGUGUUUGGCUUGGCUUAAGGAGUUUAUGUUUGUGUCUGUGUGUGUGUGUGCGUGUGUGUGUGUGUUCCUCUGAUUGUGCAUGCUCAUGUUUCUUUGCAGCAAGCCAACACACUGCUGGGAAAUGUGCCUGUGUCAGUAUGUAGGUUCUGACUGUAAAGUGUGACACUGUGCUCACUAAUAGAUCUGCACCAUCAGCAGUCAUGCCCAGACGUUUGUUUAGAGGCUCGCUUUUAUUUUCUCUGAAUUCAUCACUUGAGCGGCUGUGCAGGUUUCAGGACACAGAUCGCUCAGAUUAAACCUCAAAGACAAAUGAACAUGCUGUAUGUCAAUGAGAUAAACUUUUGACAGUUUUCAGCCUGAUUAUAUCUGGUCUGAAGGCUUUAAAUCGUGUCGGGCAAAAAAUGUAGGUCAAGCAUUGAACAAAGCAAAAAUGAAAUGUGAACCUGCGCUUUUAUCGGUCUUCAAAGUGAGUUUUUCUAAAUUAGAGGAAAAAAAGUCUGAGUUUGGUUCAUUAAAUGUCGUCUGAUGGGGCGCGCAUACCAAGCGUGAAUAAGUCAAGUCAAGUCAACUUUAUUUAUAGAGCACUUUAAAAAACAAAAAGUUUGAGCCAAAGUGCUUUAAGGCAGUAAAAUUUGGAACAGACUUUGAUAAAAAUCAGAAUAUUUAAAAACAUACUCGAUGAUGACGUAAAAAUAUACAUAUAUACUUUACAAAAAGGACAGGAAGGACAGGAUAGCAAAAUGGGUAAGAACUUAAUUCAGAUGAGAAAUCAGGUUAUGAGAAGGCAAGAGAGUAGAAGUGAGUCUUUAAGAAUAAAAUCAUCUACUCGCUUAAUUCGCGCGAAUCUAGAUGCGUGAAUGAAUUCCUCGCUUCAUUUGCGUGUCAACGGUAAUUUCAACCAUAAUCCCUGCCAAUUCAACCUGCAAGGUCAAGUGAUUGACAAAGGCUUUUUUUUUUACAAUGUACCAGAUAUUCCAACCUCCUCACUCACUUGCCUCCAGGCGAGCUCCUUUUUAUUCCGGUUUCGGUAAUUGAAAGAAAAGUUAUCAUAAAAUUUCGGGGCACCCACACUCCGACACGAUCAGUUUGUCCUCCAAAAUCCAUCCGUGACCUGGCAGCCUUUGUGCUGAUUAGUUAUCAUGACGUGAAUACCCGCUCAAGUUGAAACAUUUCCAGCUCCUGCCCAAUUCGCGUCAUUCGCGCUGCCAGAGAAGUAGGAGCGUCUACUUGUGUCUUUGCAUUGACUUAACAUGUAAUUCAUUCGCGCGAAUGAUUCUACUCGUGCUUAGUGUGUAGAGACAGUAACAGUUUAUCUUCUGACUGUGUGUCCAUGCUUUUGGUAAAAUUCAACUUCUAGUGAGAUUUUGAUGCCUGAUUUCACUCCCUGUAACAGCCCAGUGUUAGCCUUACACCAGACAGCAGAAGUGGUUCAUGUGGACAGUGUGGCCUUGGAUGAGGUCGAACUCCAGGCCUGAGUUUUUACCUCAAUCUGCUCUUUCAUGCAGGAUGUCUUUAGUAAAACUUUUGUUGCUGAAAUUGACUGUGAAUGAGUGCAGAGAUCACAUCAUACAGGGCAGGGGAGGGAAAACGUCUGCACAGUAGUCGUUGCUGAAAGUGGUCACCAAAAGCUGUAAAUUCACACAUUUUUACAAAAGUUGCUUUAGUUUUGUAAACUUUCUAUAGCUAAAAAAAUGCAUAUCACAUUAGCAUUCCUCAUUUAGUCGGUGCUAAUGCUAGCUAUAGCUGCUGCUGCUAAUUCUCUCCAGCUGCGACUACUCCGAAGAGAUUAUUGAAAUGGAUUUUGAGGCUUGUCGUCUUUUUCUAAGAACACACGCAGCUCGUGUUUUGCAAAUUAAAAUUGUGCGAAACAUUCACACUGAUGUUAUUUUCACUUCCUCAUCAGCUUGAUCAUCCCCUCUGGAUGAACGUAUAAUGCUUGACUGUGUUGGCUUGGUACUAAGUAAAUAAAAGCAGAUACUAAAUUACAAAACUUUGUUGGCCUGGUAUACUAUUCGUCUAUAUUUUCCGUUCAUUUUCCUCCACAAACAUUUGCAGAUUGCACUUCUCUUUUUCAUUAAAUUUCCGUGCAGAUGUUUGGGUUUGUCCUCAUGAACUUAAAAACACAAACAAAGCAGAAAAAGGUGUGUAAUUCCCACUCUUCUUUGGAGUACUUUCUGCCGUCAGCUGACCUUUAACACACAUCUUGCUUUGCUUAGCACACAUGCUCUCCAUUCGCACCAGCAGGAACAUCAGAGCCCUGCAUUUACACUGUGCUGUGAUGUUAUUAAUGCGCUGCUUAGUCAGUUGUCCGGCGACCUGCUUUGGCCCGGAGUAAACCCAAGUAAAAACCACAAGGUAAACAUCAUGAGAUCAGCCCGGGUGGAUUAGUCACAGCGCUUGUGUUUUAGAAGAGCGAGGAACAGCGAGGUUAUCUGUGUCAGAGUUUCAUCUGCUGCAGAGUUAAUACAAGCACAGCUUUGCAGGGUGAGGUUGGUGAGUAAUUUGAGCAAAAACCAAAUAAGUCCUGAUGGUAAAUAAGAGUGAGCAUGAAUAUUAAAAUCAGGAGACAGCACCACAAACCAAUCGCUGUGAGCUGAAAUAUAACAGCACAACUUUAAAACAUCUUAGCACGUCAGGAGUAAGUUAGCCAGUGUUUACAGCUGACAUUAUCCUCGACCGGUUACCACUGAUACAAGAUAAGCUCUGGCUCCAGGGCUCUUGAGUGCACUGAAUUGAUGAAGUGUUUUAUUACCUAUGACUUCAACAUUUUAUUAGUAACAUUCAGAAGUAAUGCGCAGUCAUCUUGCUUAAAGGUUCGAUGUUUUGUAAGAGCCCUGAGCUUUACUUUAGCAGCACAGAUGAUUGAUCUGAGCAGAGAUUGGUUGUAGCAGAAACUUCAAAGGAGGGCAGAGUAAUACUCUUUGCAUGCGGCGGUCAGCCUGGGAAAUGGAUCAGAAGGCAUGUGGUUGGAUAUAAUCAAAAGAAGGAGCUGUAUUGUGGACUCCAAGCAGAGUUCUGAUCAUUUCUUAUGGCUUUCCAGUUGGUCCCAUUAGUUGCUGUCAAAAACCUUAAAAUCGUCCUUUUAUACAGAGGUUUUUUUUUUAUUUGAAACCCCCGGAGUUAUUGAACUAUUGAGCUGAUCAUCUGCCAGCAGCCGUUUGAUUGGAUGACGUCUACAGAAGGGCUACAACAGUAUGCUUGUAUUGACUAGUAUACUAAAAAUAAGCAUGUUGUAAGACUGUAAGUUCAUAGUGGUGGUCCUUUAUUGUGGUUACCACAGAUGUGUUAAAGGGAUAUUCCAGCGUAAAAUUAAUUCAGGGUCAAACACACCGUAACACCGUGUUAGACACCCCCUCGAGAGAUGAAUGAACCGCUUGCUUCUCUAAUUAUACCAACUUUAGUAACAACUGCAGGAUAGCAAUACACAGUGGCAUAAAUGUUCUUCCUUGAGCUGCGUCACCCCGCAGCAGUACGUAUGGACUGGCCUGAGGUCUCGCUACAAACAAGCGGCUGCUGGAAGGGAGUAGGUGAGUUGUGUUUGGUCUCUUUGCUAAAGAAAUCAGGUAAAGUUAAAAAGAUGUUUGGUGGCAAGUACUAUGGCUGGGACCCUAUAUGUACUGUUGAUGAAGUUAGGUGCUGUUCUGAACAUUAUUUCUGGCUAUAGAGUGGCGUUUUGGUUGAGGUUUGUGUAUGGCUCCAUAGACCGCUGUGUAUUGCUAUCCUGCAGUUGUUACUAAAGUUGGUAUAACUAGAGAAGCAAGUGGUCGGCAACAUUCAUCUGUUGAGGGGGUCUCUAACUCAGAGUUACGCUGUGUUUGACCCUAAAUUAACUUUACGCCGGAAUAUCUCUUUAAAGAGACAAAGAAGAAGCAGAAGAUGUUAGCUAGCUAGCUGUAGCAACCCCCCGAGAGAUGAUGAGUCCCAAUCAACUUUCAAGCCUGUGCUUCCUUGAGGCUCCCAUUAAAAUGGUCAUUUAUACUUUUAAACCUUUCCUUAUACUGUUUUUAUUCAGUUUAGUAACUUCUGAUCUGCCAGACAUUAUCUUCACUUCAAAAUAAAAGCAUAGUUUUAGAAUGACCAUAAUAAACCAACCUAAACAGAUGGAAAAACAUGUCAAAAUAAAAGCACAACAAUCUCCAAAGAAUAAUUGCGUUAUUCUGUUUUAAAAUUAUUGAUAAAUAUUGUGAUAAUAUAGCUAACAUAGGGUGACCACAUUCUGAAUCUCCAUAAAGAGGACACGACUACGCAGGGGUGGAGUCACAGAGUUGCACAUAGUUUUUCGGGUCGGGUUGAGUGUUUUUAUGCUUCUAACUCAGUAAGUCCACACGACACAAACUCAAAACUUCCAUACAAAACCCCAUUUUGAAGGACAUUUGAAGGAUUUUAGUAACUACCCUGGACAAAGCCAUACAAGGCCAGACAUGCCGGACAGUUCCCAAAAAAGAGGACAUGUCCAGGUAAAAGAGGGCGUAUGGUCACCCUAGCUGACAUAUUUUAUGGCCACAGUGAUUGGAAGUUGAAAAUCUGAUAUCAUGAUAGCCCAACAAAGCUUAAAAUUAAAUCCCACUGACUGACUUUGACUCGUUUCUCCAGUCAAAGCAUUUCAUCACAUUUGUAUGAGAUAUACUGACCUGACAAAGUCCAAAUAUAAAUCUUGUUUUAAGAUAUUUCAGGCCCAGGCUGUCUUUAUAGGUCUCUCUGCACAGGCAGGGAUGCAUCUACAAAGUACAACCUCAUUCAUUAACUUCACCCAUGAGAUGCAGAGUUGAAAUCACUUCACCUGUCAGUGUUGUCAGUUACAUAAUAACAAUUGGUUUGGGAAAAAUCUGUUUUAAAUGAACUUUACUCCCACACAUGUAAGUUUUCUUCUUAUUUGGGGAGUUGUAACUAAAAAGGACCAAAGAAGGAGGUAAGAGAGCCGUGACUGUGGAUUAUUCAACCCCUCCAAGUCCAGCUGAGACACAUCUUUUUGCACAGAUUGUUUGGAGUUCUGUCUCAGACAGGUGUCCGACCGGUUGCUCAGGCCAGCUAACCCCGAGCCCCGGGCCUGGCUCUGGUGCCGUAACGCUGGAGGUCAGAGGUUAAUGGAGCAGAGUGGCGCCGGCCAGUCAUCCCCCAGGAUCCUGGGUGGAUUUGGUAAACAGUGAAGCUGUCACUGCAGAUUAAUACUGAGAGGAGGUAGAGCUGGGCCGAGCACACAGGGGGCUAAUGGCUUCCAACUCAGCCAUGAAAGUGCCUGUCUUCCCCAUUCUCCUCUCUCCCUCAUCCCCACAGAUAAGCCCCGCAGGCUUAGAGAAGGAGGAGGGACGAAGGGAGGAAAGGAGGAGGGAAGCAAAGGUAAAAAAAGGAGUUAGCUCCAUAAAGAAGAACUAACAAGAGGGCAAUAAUUACGAGUGCACUUGAGCUCAACAAAGUAAAACUAAAAGAGGGGAACAUCUUAAAGCUGCGGGACCUUCUUUUGAGGCAUGAAGGAGUUUUUGUUUCUUCCCAUUGUGCGAAUGUGCAGCUCAGCCUUGAGGUCAUCCAUUGGUUACAGCUGUAAGAGCACAACGCCAACUGCCAGCUCACCUCUGUGGGGGAUAUUCGGGGACUUUUUUUCCCCGUCUUAUCAAGCGUCUGCGAGCGUUGACACUUUGGUUAAUCUGUUAUUGCAUCUUCAACACGGGGCAGCUCACAACACUUGGUUUGCUGCUUGUAUCAAAGCAGGAUAUUGUAUGUCAAGUCUCCUCACAGCUUGAGAUUGUGGUUUCACUCUCACCGCAGCUCAUGCGACAGUGAAAGAAAUAAAAAAACUCCUGUUAUCUGCAAAGAGAAUUUCUUCUUAUGUCAUGAAUAUCUAAUGUAAGCUUAGUUUCCCUUUUUUUAUUUGCGGUUUGUGUUUUUCCAUUUGCGUCACUAUGAACGGUUCGAUCAAUUUAAUUCCUCUAUAGUUUUAUAAUUCAUACAAACAGCAAAGUUGUGUUGUUUAAAGGUCACAUAUUUCCAGUAUACAAAAAGAGUUGUGCACUACAACAAACACAUUUCUGCUUAUUUGUCUAAAAAGUGAAGGAUUAAAAACGUUCUUUUUGUAUUUUUACACAAAACAGCAUUUAAGCGUCUCCAGAUGUAUCAUAUGAAGUGUAAAGGAUGUAAGAUUACUUUUUUGGAUAAAUAUUAACUGCUUCACAGGUUUUGCAAAAACCUUUUCUAUGUUGGGUUAGCAUUGGGUUAGUAUUUCAGACUGUUUAGUUUCCCGUCUGUCCAACAGGUCUUCCUUUAAAAUGCUUGGAAAUGCCACCACUCUCUUGUGGGGUACCUCAGGGCUCUAUUUUGGGUCCCCUUUCAUUCACUGUUAACAUGCUUCCACUGGGGCAAUGGUUUGGCUUUUCACUGCUAUGCAGAUGACACUCAGGUCUAUGUGUCUAUGCUUCUAGUCUGGCACUUUCUGUUGUUUCUGAUACUUUGCUGUCUGGUUGAAAUCAAGAUUAAAAUUUCCCUAAAUUGAUUCUUAAUGACUCAUACUCUGAUGUUAUGGUCGUUACUAUCUCUGCUCUAGUUACGUUAAUAAUCCAUUCUCCAGCCUGGGUGCCUUAUCUAUUAAUGCAGCAAAGAUAGGGUGACUAUAUUCUGAGGACACGACUACGCAGGGGUGGAGUCAUGAAGUCUUACGAAGUUCAUUUUGAGAGUUCUUCAGGUCAGAUCGAGUGUCUUUUACGCGCGUCUGACUCAGAAAGUCCACGCAACACAAACUGGAAACUUCCGAACAAAACUACAGACAUUUGAAGGAUUUUAGAAAGCCGGACCAGGCCGGACAGCCCCCCAAUAAAAGGACUUGUCUGGGUAAAAGAGGACGUAUGGUCACCCUAGCACACAGGCCCGAAACCUAGAAAGUAUUUUUUUUAUUUCAAUUUUUCCUGUGAUUCUUUAGUGGCCAAAGUUUUGCAGUUUUAUUUUGCUGGGUUGGGAAAACAGACUAAACUCAGUUCUUGUAUUUUCCCCACUGACAUAGCAAAAGUCCUCAAGCCUUGACUAUUGCAAUACACUUUAUUUUGACAUCAGCAAGAACAUCUAAAGACUUCAUGUAAUUCAAAACCUCGCUGCCAGGCUUUUAACACAUAGCAAGAGAGGAGAUCAUAUAACACUGUAUCCCUCGCUGCCCUUCACCGGCUACCAGUGAGUUUAAGAAUUGAUUGGAAGACUUUUACAGCUUGUUUUUGGAGCCUUAAAUGACCAGGCACCAGCCUGUAUCUGUGAGCUGCUAACUCCCCAUGAGUCUGAGUGCUGCCCUCAGGUCUUCUUUGAAGGCCCUCCUCGUGGUUCCUACUGCAAAUGUGAACCAGUCAAAUGAGGUGACUGAGCAUUUGCAAUUCAGGCUUUAACAGCUGUGGAACUCCCCGCCUGGGGAUGUUUGACAAGACAAGUGGGUGUCCUCUUAUAAAUCUGUUCAGAAAGGUACAGUGAGUUGUGUUUAACAGCAUUUACCAAAGCAAGCGUGGUAGAAAUGGAGCAGGUAUUCACUCGUAUCUUUAAAGAACAGCCUUUAUAUAUAUUUUUAAACUUUUAUAAGCUUUUUAUACCAACAUUGGAGCGGGACCACUUCCAUGUAGGCGGUCUUUUUGUCACUACAGUAGCACAGACUGGACUUUGGUCAGUUUGGGUUGGUUUAAAAUGAGCUCCAGAGAUCAAAUUGACCCUACUCUGGCGUUUUUGGUUUAAAUCUGUGUUAAUGUGUGAAAGAACUGUACUCCACUGUACACAGUACCACUCAUUCCUCCAAUUACCCCCGAUGCUCCCACCCAGCUCUGCUGUCAGUUGGCCUGUGGGGGGGUCCAGAGCAGCAGAGGGAGGGGGUCCGUCUGAGCAUACUCUAUGCAGUCGUCCAUUGUACAGUCCUCACAAUGGGAGCCUUUGAUCUUAGAGGGGUGCACCUCUCUGUCUCCUCCAUCCCUCUUCCUCUUCCUCCUUCCUCUCCUCUUCCCUCGCCUCCUUUUUUUCCAGUAUUAACCUCGACCCUCCACGUACCGCCAAGAGGGCCGAGAGGAGAGAAAGGAAAUGAAACACUGAUUGAAAUGAAUGAAAAUGUAAUGAAGUGAGGAGAGGGCUGGAAGAUGGACCACAAAGCGAGGAGGGGAAACAGAAAUCAGUUGUUAUAUUAUUCCUCUUGUCCGUCCUUAUUAAAAGGCCCGGGGGCCACACUGAGAUGGCCCUUUGACAGAUUGUUUUCAGUAUAUUGCUCGGUCCCCUCAUCUCUACACUGACACAGAGCAGGUGCUGCCAAGACCAGACUUGAGCUUGGGAUAUGGAGGCUCAAGGAUGGGAGGCUUUGGUUUGCUAUAAGGGUGGGAGUUUACAAGGGGGGCCAGGCAGGACUGUAAGGCCCUAUACAUCCCCCGGUGAAGUCUGUCAGGUCAAUAUUUUCUGUACGUUGUGACUGCAUUGCUAAUUCUGCUGCUCCGAUUCAACCAAGCUCCCCUACUGGCUUACCGGCCACCACAAAGCCCCAUCAUGUCCUCUGUGCUUGGCUUUGGAAAACAGAGCCCUCCUCCCCUCCCUCCCUCCGUAACCCUCCCACCAAUAGCGCAAUGCUCCAGUGAGCGUCUAUAGAUUCCUGGAUCUGCACAGCGUUGCAUUGUCUCCCUGUCCUGGCCUUCUGCCAAGAACCGAGCCAGCUUUGGAAAGUUGUACUUCUCCAGAGCCUAAUCUUUUCUCUGCCCCGCUUCUUUUCUUGCUCCCCUCCCUCCUCCAUUCUUUCCUUUCUUCUCCCUGCACGGCUAUUUUCUUUAUGCCAGAGAGCCUGCGAGUAUUUACUGAUGCACUGGCAUUGAGGGUUAUUGUGUGUCAGGCCUGGAUGGAGUGCAAAAGGCGGAGUGGAGGGGUGGUGCAGGGGCUGCUGAAUAAACAAGGUUAUGCAGAUUGCACUGCAGAGAUCUGAGAUAUGGUUAGUGCUUUACAGCACAGCAAGUUCAUUGGAUAACACAAAGUAAUAAAAACAAAACUAUGUGGAACCUCAAACGGUUUCACAUAGUUUGGUUUUUAUUGGUUCUGGUUCUGGGGUCUCUGUCUAAGAUUUCUGUCACCAGCCAAUCACAAUGGAAGUUAAUGAAGUCAAAUUGUUUGGUGACUGAAACUUCCACGGUAACGUCUCUUCCCAGAAACGAAUCCCCGCUCGCUGCUCUGUCUGGCUCUUUCCCAAACCUCACUGUGUACAGUUUUCAUUGGAUCUACUCUACCGAAGGAGCCGUGGUAUUUCACUGAUAGUUUAUAGGGCUAAAAAUGCUUGAAACAAAGUGGUUGUAAAACAUGUUUUCCAACCUCACCCCAGGAAAAAGUGUCUGAAGGCUGAAGGUCUGCUAUCACAUUCGCUCUGGUUAUAUUUCACUCCCUUUCUUGAAAAAACACUUUUUUCGGCAUAUUUCUGCAAAUAUUCGCCAAAUUAGAAUUAUUAGUCGUUUCUUUUAGUAAAGCUCAGCGAAAGAGUCUCAAGCAUAGACUGUAUAAACUAUGGACAACUUGGUUUCGCCUGCCGCCAGUAUAUAUUCUGUGUAAUAGAUUUCUACAGUUUGUCCACAACUCCAUAAGGAUUGCUGGAGGAGGCGGGAUUUCUGACCUAUACUGCAGCCCAUCACCAGAGGGUGCUGUUCUCGGAGUGGCUUCACCCAGCUGGGAGGCAGAUGGCGUCCAUUCUAAGUACAGUCUAUGGUCUCAAGCUUCUUUUAGACAUGCAACAUCUUUAUAAUUUUUCUUUAUAGAGAUUUAUUUUGGUAGCUGUUACCUUUAUUUUGAAAGAACAGAACAAAUUAAUUCUAUGUGCAAAUGGACAAAUGUACAGACAUCACAGAGAUGAUCCUUCUUCAUUAACCUCUGAUAUUUUUGUUCAUCCUCCCACUUAUUGCUCCUCUGCGUUGGUUCACAGGGGUCACAUAGUUUAAAUGUCAUUACCUAAACCCACUUGUGUUGAAUGGUUCAUCUGAACCAUGACUUCAUGGUUAUUGAAGGUCAAAGAAAAGUCAUGGUGGAAAUUUCUGUCACUGUUGUUUUCACAUAUCGUUCACCCUGAUAUGUGGAGAGUCUGUAAGAGUUUAGGGUCAGGUACACAAUAAUUUAGGCCCCUGGUUAGCUAAAAGUUGUACAUGUACAGUCUCUCCUCUUAGAUACAAGAAAUAGGAGCGACUCAGGGUGCAACUGAUCAUGCCUAAAAUUCAUUAAACACCCUAAACAGAGCUUUUUCAAUCAAGGUACUGUAAGAAAACAGGUAAUUUACUGGAAAUAAUGCUGUUUUAGAGAAGAUCUUUGCAGGAGAGGCUGAGAGUCAAAGAGCUUGAACCAGAUCAGCAAAACGGCUAAAUUAAAAAGGAUUUUCAAGGAGCUGGUUUACUACACAGCUUUGCUAAUUACCUGUGGUGAUGCUAAUGCUUAACUUUGCUGCUUCAGCCUCCUUUUUUUUUAAUUCUCAGGGAUCAGACCAAGUUAUCACAUAAAUAUGCCUUUUUAUAUCGAGAAAUUGCACCAACAUCUUCAAAGUUUAGGAACAUAGUUGGUUAGGUUCAAUAAAUGACAGAUUUAAAGAGGGGGCAGUGGUUAAGCUUGUGCCACUUGAUCUUUGACACUGCAAAUGAAAUCCUCUGAACGGACAUGAAAGAUAACAAAUACGGAGAGCUCACCAGUUCACAUUCAAAAGGUUAUUUUAUCCUUAUGUCGGUAAACUGCUCCUUGACAAAAUCCUCCUUCUCACUUAUUGUGACUCAUUGUCUCAAGAACCGGCUCUGCUUUUCUCUGGGACAUGAUAAGACCCGUAUUUCCUGAGGGCAGCCUAACCCUACACUCCUCCACCCUGGAGUUGACCCCCCAAGCUUACAGUGUCGUCUCUCCCAUCAGCGCCCACACCCAAGGAGGGGUGGAGAGCGUCCCAACCCCGACAGCACUCUUCAUCCCAGACGUAAACACGGGUGACAAAUGGGCCGCAAUAUCAGGUAUCAGGUGUCGGCGUGGAAGAUUUAUAAGGUAACAAGACAAUGGGAGGCAGACACAGAAAGCCCCUAUCUACCAUCAGCACUGCAGCGAAAACCCACUUUGGUUUUAGGAGCCGUGGAGAGAAUGAUUUCCCCUUUAAUCCCUUGAGUUUUUUCAUCCAUGCAGCACAGAUUAGAAGCUCUCACACUGCUAAAUCAGAUGUUAGUGGCUCUGCAGGAGGACAUGUUUUGGUUUGCUGAUUGAAGACAGGGGAGGCAGGCACAAGAGGACUUGUUGUGAAAUGGAGGAAGUUCCUACUUAUGGAGAGGGAAGUUCGGGGUCAUGUAAAGCUCGGUCUGGGAUGGAGAACGCAGUUGCUCAUGUCAUCCGGUUUCACAAUCAGCAGCUGGUCGUCUGUCUGUACAAAAGUCUUGGAGAAAAAAAAAACUCCCCCUUUCUCUUUGUAUUAAACCGGCUUAAACAUCCUGUUUUUGUUGGUGGAUGUUUUGAUUUUUAAUAAAAGUGCUCAGUAUAUGAUCAGCGUGUGUUUAUGUAGGAGGGGAAGAAAGUUAAAGCUGCAGACUGCACAGAUGCAAUCAAUCAAGGAGUGCAGAAAAAGUUCAUUACACUCCCUGUUCAGAGCUAUAAACUUUUGUGAUAUGUUGACGGUGUAUACAGAGCUGAAAUGAUAAAAUAGAGCUGUUAUCUGCAGUCAUCUGAUUCACAGUCACUCCCUUUGGGUGUGGAUUUCAACACAAGGCCCUUCAGUUUUUAGCUCUGGCCGGGAUCAUAUGUGAAAGUGAAUUUGAUUAAUUAGGUCACAUGUACUAAUAGAUAUUAAUAUUUAACUCAGUGGUACAUUUAUAAGACGAAAAUCUGUGUUCUGACUAAUCGGCCAUCGUUAAAAGGAUGUUCCAGCAUAAAAUUAAGUUAUGGUCAAACACACUGUCACACUGAGUUAGACACCCCCUUGAGAGAUGAAUGUUGCCGGUUUCUUCAUGGAAAUACAAUCAGACUGAGCCGCUAAGGCAGAAGAACUACCGCAUCUGCAGUGCAAAAUGAUUAAUAUGAUGAUUAUUACUUCAAGGAAAUGAUAAAGUAAUGAUCAUAAAUGUUCUUCCUUGAGCUGCGUCACCCCACUGCAUCUGGAGAUGGACUCGUCCGAGCUCUCCCUACAAACAAGCGGCUGCUGGAAGAGAGUAGGUGAGUUGUGUUUAGUCUCCUUGCUAAAGAAAUCAGACAAAGCUAAAAAGAUGUUUGGUGGCUAGUACUAUGGCUGGGACCCUAUAUGUCCUGUUGAUGAAGUUAGGUGCUGUUCUGAAUAUUGUUUGUGGCUAUAGAGUGGUGUUUUGGUUGAGGUGAGUGCGUGGCUCCUUAGACCGCUGUGUAUUGCUAUCGUGCGGUCGUUACUAAAGUUGGUAUAACUAGAGAAGGAAGUGGAGUAUCCCUUUAAGGUGCAAACACAGGAUCACAGAUUCAGAAGCUCCAGGUUUUCUGAAUUUGGAUUAAGUUUGCAGAGCUAGUCCUCUUUGCAGAUAGACAACACACUGCUAUGGCCAUGUGGUUAUACGCCAAGUUAGCCAUUCACAGCCCAAAGUAAAACAUCAUUUCCAUUGUCCAAACUGGACCACACUAGAGGAUAUCAUCGGUCAUAACAUAGCAUUAUGUCAAGCUAGUUGUACUACCACUCUGACUCAACAUAUGAGCGCAAUUUAAGCCAAUACAAAUACAAACAUAAAUGAUUACAACCAAACUGAAAGUUCCUCAGAGGAGCUUUAACAGCAGUAGAUAAGGCUCAUGAAUAUAACUGACCUCUUUCACCUUUUCACAUUCUUGUUAUUUUGAUAUUCUGACAGUAAAAAACGAUCGCUGACAGUUAAGGGCUUUUAUUUUCCUUGAGGUCUGUUAGUCAUUUAUUGUGCAGAAACAGAAACCUCAGCAGCGCCGAAGGACCCUCACAUCCAUCUCUGAGGCAUCCAGGUGCUGACAUGAGAAAGAGGAGUUGAGUGUGGGUGCCGGAGGAAGGAGGUGCUGGCGCCGCGUACCACCAGAUCCACAAAGAUCAUUCUAGAGAUGGUGUUCCUGACACGUGAAAACUCUGCAUGCAGAGGACAAGACGCACACUCCCUCUCCCUCCCUGCAUACAUCACACAAUCACCCACCACCUCCUCCCACGCUGCACGCCCACGGCCACCCUCAGAGGAGCUGAAACUGGAGACCUAAACCUCCACCCGUCAUCCCCACUCCCUGUCCUUUGUCUCCUCACAAUGUGGAGUGAACAGAUUCCUCGUGCAUUUCCUCAGGGAGAGGCUACAGAUUUCGUGUGUGUGGAGGAUUGUGUGUUCGGGUGUCCGAGUGCGUGCGUUGCGUUAUUUGUUUGUAUGUUUUUACCCUCAGUUAACCUCUUUUUGUUUGACUCUUCAUUACUCACUCUGACCAUGACACAUUUUCCUCUUAUUAAAGAUUUGGACUCACAGGUUGAGUUCAAACCCAUGACAUUUAAAAAUACUCUUAACAAUGCGUUUAAUUUGUCAAUUAGUUCUCAUAUACCUGAAAAACUCUAAAACACUUCAUAAAAAUUAACAUUUAAUUAAGUCAGUGUGUGUUAAUGUGGAAGCUGUUGCUACUGGUGACAAACUAAUAGGACAACACAACCCAACGCUGCAGUUCCUAUCAUCUAUAUGGACCUUGUUUUGUAAGGAGAAAAUUCAGCUUUGGGUGAUUUGCAGCCUGAACUAAAUGCAAAGAAGUUUGUGUGGUUGACCCUGAAAAUAAACUGCAAACAUGGAGAUAGAUUCUGUUCUCGUCCUGUUCAUAGUUACCCAAAUCAAACAUGACAACAAAAAUUAAAAAAUGAAUAAAAAUUGCCAUAAAUAAGACAGCAAAGGACUCUGUGUUAGUGAAAUCUAUUACUAGUUUCUAUGGAAGCCCAACAAUGGCAGUCCCCAUAACAGAAAUAUUAACUUAAUCCAACAUUUAAUCUAACACUUAAUCCACUUCUAGACUUCUAUAAUCAGCAUCUCCUCAUCCAUGGUGUCAUCAAGAUGAAAUGCUAUCUAUAAACCUUUUACUUGUUUAUCCUCGCCUGUUUGCAUGGUGUGAAAUAUGAUCUGCUUGAAACAUGGAGUGUUUUAUUUUGAAAAGAAGCUGGAUGUUUUAUUUUGUGUCUGUGCCCGACUUCGAUCCACAGCGAAACGGAAAGAAGACGGACACAUUAACUUCAAUGGUUACGAUCAGCUACGGUCGACGGAUAUGGCCUUUUCGUAGCCAUUUCCGAUGCGGUGGAAAUUGACAAAUAGAGAUGGAGCUGAGGUGGACUUUAAGCCUCCGGGCAAACAGCUGCAAUAGUAAACCUGACAGUCAGAAUUUAAGAUUUAUGUCAUACUCCAAGCUUUGACCCAAUCAAAAGGAGUGUUUGUAAAAAACUGUGAAUUUAAAGGUACAGUGAGUAAUAUUCAGACAGAUCUACAGACUUGGUUUAAAUGCAAUAAAAUGUUCAGGGGUGAGUAAGGGGUGACAAAGGGAGCAUUUUAAUCCAGACUCUGCCCAUUACAUAUUGCUAGAUGUUCCCAUACAAACUGUGGUUUGGUGCUGAAAUAGGGAUUUCCUCAGAUUUUGGAACAAGCCUCAAAUGGACUCUUGAAGAACUGCAGUUUGUUUUAACAUUGGCAAUAGUCCUUUAAUAUUUCCUCCACACAAUAGCACAGUUAAGACGGCCUUUUGCACGUUUGUACACUCCCACUCUGCUUGCUUUGUGAUCCUGUCUCACCUCUGUUGCUCCUCUGUAACCACCUCUGGUGCCAGUAUCGCCAUUGGACCACUCAUUCCCGCCAUAACGUCUCUGUGACAUUCAUAUUGAAGGGGAAAUAUUACAGGGGUAUAAAUAUUAGACUUCAGUAAACAGAAAGGUAAUAAAAUACUGAAGUUCAAUCCAACAAAAAUGACAGUGAAGUCGGCUUUUAUUUACCGGCUCUGGCAGACUUUAAAACUGAAAUCUCUUCAAGCUUAAGUGUUACCGAUCCAAACCGCUGUGUCUUUUAACUUAUUCUUUUAUACAGCACAUUACUGAGAAAGUUCUGUUUCAGCAGUAUCCUUGAACUGAGCAUCUGAAAGAGGCCGGUUGUUUUAAGUUACAGAGCAUAAAUCAUAGUAUAAUCCUAUAAUUAGCUCCUUGACUGAAUCUGUUUAUAUUACGUUAUUUAUUACAGCGGGUCAUCAUCAGUCUUGUGAUUGCACUUCAGUAAAAACCACACAGCAACAUUUUUCCACUGCCGUCUAAACAUGGCGUCACACCAAAUUCUUCAAGUCGGCUCGGUGGGCGGAGUUUUCCCAGAUGGGUGCCGGCGUUGAGCCCUGAUUGGCCGACAGAGACGGUUGCACUGAGUGACGGGCUGUCAGAGGGGAUCCAUCGGGGGGACAAUGUGCCCGCUCAGAGGCUCAGAGGUCAGCCUGUUAACAACGGCUCCUCUGGUGAAGUUUGUUUUCUAGCAAGGAGCCACCUUUUCAUGUGUGCCACUCAUUAUCAGAGCUCGUGCCCCCUGCUGCCUCGAACAAGGCCGUCUGUUUGCACCACGUUGUGUGUCUAUGUGUGUGUAUUUCAACCAAAACCCUCUGCCUCUCUUCCUGUGACCCUGUUUUGCCAGAAAUGGAGCGCACACAAUGUGGAAUCCGACUCAGGUUGACCUGAUCUGAUCUAGGCCUCGACUGUGUUUGGUUUGGCAUCGACGUGGAACAGUCCUUGUAUGUUUUAUCUGGAGAACCUCUAUCACUUUGCUGUAGUUUUACUCGAGCUUUCCCAAGCCUAUAAUAACCACAGGCAGCAUCUUUUCAGCUAUUUCCAGCUGUCUGCGCUCCAACCCUUUACAUAAUCACUGUUACAAAAGAAGAGCGGACAUCUUGAAAAACACUGAGCAGAUAUGGAAUCGUUCCUGGAAUGUGGUUCCCCUCGGGGAGUCGAUGUCAACAGGGGGCAAUUUUUUAGGGGAUGCCAGAGAGGAACAGUGGACGUGCUGUGGAGGGACGGACCAGCAAAGAUCAAUAGGCUGGAGACAGAGGGGUGUUGUCUUGAGCAGAUAGACUCAGGCCUCUUCUGGGAGAGCUGAGAGAUGGACCGAGGCUGUAAAUUCAGCCUAAUAUGUGCUUGUGCAAGAAUGUAUGGAUAAAGGAGCAUUUGACUCUAAAGCUAUGAGAUUAAGAUGUUGCAACCAACCCUGGAGUGUGCAUUUAACCAUUAGCAGUUAGGAUUUACAGCAGAUUUAUAAUACUUCAUUUGCUAAGCAGCAUUUUCCAUAUGGGCAGUUAUUUGUUUAGCUUGUUCAGAGAAGUGCUACAAAUCAGUUUAACCUUGCUGGGUCCAACUCUUGUACUUAAAAAAGGAGGUAUGGACAGAAAAAUAAAACAUUAGCAUCUCUACAUGCCAUAAGCAAAGCUAAAGCUAGAGCCUAAAAAAUGAUAGUCUUACUCUUUAACUCUCAGCUUCUCCUGCAAAGAUCUCCUUUCAGACAGCAUUAUUUUCAGCUCUUCACAGUCUGCUUUAUUUUGAGUUCUCUUUUCAUAUUUUGUAAAUGGUUCACUUUGUUACUGGCGUGAAACUUUUUCUCAGGAAUAAACUACCAUGACUCUGCCUCUUCUUUCAUGUCUCAAUGAAAGGGACAUGGUUUUUUGCUGCAGACUGAUGGUGUGUAAUGUGGAGAUAAUUUUUCCCAGUUAGCCCCCGUUUCUUGUAAUGAAGACACCACUGAGAUUAAUGACCUUAAAACUCAUAUGGUAUGCAUGUAUGUGCAAAUUUCUGCGUGCAAACACAAUGUCUCAAUGUGGAUGUACUGAAUGCAUUUCUGUGCAUGUGUGUGGGUUCAGUUGGAUGUGUGUGUGCCACUUUUUGAGUCGAUCAAAUGUGGCCUUCUCUCUGCAGAAGAAAGCAGCUCACUGUCUUCAUUCUGUCCAGAGUCUGAGGUCCAGCCUGUCUCAGUCCGGGUCCUGUCCUGCAUGUCUGGAACUCUGUGUCUCUGCACGCUGAAGCUGGGCCUUGUUCCCAGCUGUUUGUUCAGCUGGCCCACCAGCGGGGACACCAGGGACUCAAAGCCCCCCCCUCUCCUUAGCUCUACCCAGGCCCAGUCGGACACCUCCACUGCCGCACCCACCCAGGUCAGCAACCUCCUGACCCCCUCACCCGGGGGGUUAUUUGCUCUGAGGCCAUCGUUUAAGAAGGGUGUUUUGUUCGGCCCUCAUUUGGUCUGCAGUCUCGGCUUAGGCUCUUGUCAUCAGUGCCAUUGAUCUGCUCCAAAUGAGCUGAUUAGGGGGCCUGCAGUUUGUCCUGGUGAGUGGGCCGGCCUGAGCUGGGCUGAGCUCUGCAGGAUGAGGAGGGGGUGGUGGUGUAGGGGGUUAUGAGGAUGAAGGGGUCAGAGUGCAUGCAGAGCAAACACAGUUGGGCAUUCAAGCUCAAAGAUGCAACAUGAAAUUAGUGGUUGUUUGAAGAGGAUUGGAUCAAGCCCGUUUGGCUGUGUUUGUUAUGUCUCCUCAGACCCCCGUGGAUUCAGUGAUGCUGCAGCGCUCAGAUCAGUGUUUGGUUUUCUCUAAUGGACCCCCUUUCACUUUGUUUUUCAGCUCUGUGAAGCUUUCUCUAAUGCCGUGUGGCCUAUUUUAAGCGGCGUGCAUGCAUACCUACCAUAGGCGUAGAUUUCUACUGACUUCCAAAUGCUGCAAGAUUGUCCCCUCCUAACCUAAUCCCUCACUGGUCAGGUUCCUGCAGGGUUACUGGGUCCUUUACAGAGACUUUACUGUAUUAUAAGGAUGAAUUAUAUAUCUAUAUAUUAUAAGGCAUUAAUAACCACAAUGUUCAGCCUUCAUGCUUCUCAAACUUCAGUGAGUCAUCCUUUCCUUUUCCCCCUCUGUUCAGUUUUAAAAAAAUCCACUCAUUAUAAUGGUUAUCACAUGGAUUUUAUUUAUACGGAGGAUUAGCCACAGCAUGUCCAACUGAUUGGUUUCUUGCGUCAUUCAAUCAAGAAAAUCUCAGAAACAGCAGUCAGACCACCACAAAUUACAAAACUGUAACUACAUCGAAUGGGCAGUUCUCUUAGAAACAGAGAACUUUUAGAUAUGAAACCCACAUCAAUAGAUAGACACAUUAACGACUUAUAUUUGAUUCAUUACUUUGGGGGUUAACUGUGUGAAAAAGAUCUUGAUGUUUGGCAUUCUGCCACCACCAUCUAUUUUUAUCAGUCAGACAGUCUUAAACUCCCAGUUUCAUGAUUCUCUCCAGUCUGGAUCAGGAAAGAAGAUUUAAUCUCGUUUGGGUUCAUCCCCAGAGUGAACAGAGGAAGUGGACAAAGCAUCUUUGUUUUAGAGGAAGAACUUUUACAAAGCACUUUAAAUCUGCACUCUUCCCAAUGACCAGCAGGGGGAGAUGCCCCUGGUUGUUAAAACAUGAACACUGCACCCCCAAUCAUCUCUCAUUGUGAGAUAUGGAAACAAACAUGGUGCUAUGUUGCUUUGGUGGAGCCAGCACAUGCCUUUACUUCACCUGUGUAAUACGUUAGCACCCAUUAGCCGUUGUUUUGGCAUCAUAUCAAAUUACACUGGUGUUGAUAUCAACCAGAGGAGUCUAUCCCUGCUGAUGUGGUGUACUGGGGGAGGGGGUCGCUGGUGUCUUAAUGAGUGAAAAAGUGCUGCAGAUGUGCCCAAGUCAAUGCCCAGAGAGUACAUCAAAUGUGGGAAAAAGUGCAAUCUCAGUUCCCUGACAGUGGUAAAAACAUAAUAAGUUCCCUCUGGAUGUCCCUCCAGUGUAUAAAACAUUGACACAGUUUCUUCUAAAUGCCCUUCCAGUAUUAAAAAUGUGAAGAGGUGUCCUUGGAUAAUCUUUAAAUGUGUAAAUUCUAUAAUAGUAUUGUCUUAAUGCUCUCUAGAUCACUUUCAAAUUAGACAGUGUCCUCUGGGUCCCCUGUUAAAUCCUCUUUCUUUCCUCUCACGGUGAGAAAUGUAAAUGAAAGGUAUUCUGGAGGCCCUUCAAGUGUAUAUCUCUCUUUACUUUAGAAACUUACCUUUAAAAUGUGAUUGUUUAAUUAGUUUAUUUCUGUUUAUCAUAUUUUGAGUAACAAUACCCAACCAAUUUUUUUAUGAAGAUGUGAAACAGCAGAUUAGAUCUUACUAGACUGCUCUUUCCUUCAAACAUAAGCAACUUUCAUUACUUGUUGAUUAUGCAUGAAUAAUUUUGCUCAAAAUUCCUGCAGUCUGAUCAACAGAGCUGUCUAUCAGUCAUCUUUUCUUCCACACUGAACACUUGCACAUAAUCAAGCAUGAAAAGCACUAACUAUGAUAACAGAAGGCAAAUGUUUGUCCCAGUUUACAUCUGUUUUAAUUGAGGAGGCAGGCUUUGUGACAUGUACCGCAUACAGCCACCAGGGGGAGCUCUAAAGGUUCUGGCUUCACUCAGAAUAGUUGCAGCAGAUAGCAUGCCAUACUCUCAAUCACUAAUUUUGAGUAUUUUCCAUGCUGUGCAGCUUAAUUCUAUAAAUUGCAUAAUCUUAUUUAGAGUAGAAAUGGAAAAUAAACCACGUUAUGUUUUUAGGCCUGACUCUAUGUGAUUGGAAAGUUGUUUCCAUGUCUACAAGAGAGACAAGAACUCCAAAUAUGGCUCAAAAAUAAGAUGUUGUCAGUGGAAAUAUCAAACUUGAGGCUUCAGAGGCCAACACACAAACAAAUGUGUGAUCUGACAAUGACAACAUCUGUUUCUUUUGUGUAAUGGAAGGUUUUACUCCUUGGUUAAGUGGUUUCUCACACACAAAAUGAACCAGAGUCCAUUUCAGCUCGACUAAACACAAAGGAGACAGCCACAGAAUCUCCCGUCUACACUCACGCUUUAAUGUGCGUCAAAGUUUGCCUCUUUUUUAUCAGCCUUUGGACCUUUUAAUUACAGUCUUAGCGUAAUCUAACACUCCCACUUCUCACUCUGUAAACCGAGUGUCCUCCCUCCUCUCGGGUCAAGGAUUAAAAUGGAGACCCGGCUGAAUGAGCCGCACAUAGACACAGAGAUAAGGAGGCAGAGACACAAAGAGGUUACCUACAAUUACGGACACAUUUGUAGAGGAAACACAAACAGAAAAUAAUGAGCAGUGUUGUCUAUCGGCGGACACAGUCGGCUUAUGCGUGGUCAGAGACUCUCUUCAUAGAUCUGAUCUGAAACCAGCCACAAAGAGGUCUUUGUUUUCCCACUUGUUUACUGCAAGCUGAUAUUUUCCACAAAUUGAGCUGGUUUAUAGUGUGAAAACGUUUCUUCCACUCUGAUAGUUAAACUGCAAGUAUGUUGGACGGGUGUCAUGUGCGGUAAUUAUCCAGAGUAGAUGGAGCUGUUUUCCCCGGCUUAAGCUUCUCUUUUUUUUUUGCUCUGCUUCACUGUGCCACAGGUCAAAGUUCACGAGGUUAGGGCGGACGGACACUGUGUCCUCACAUCCGUCUUCAUUAGAGGUCUGGAAGUACUCAGUGGUCAAACUUCCUUCUCCUCCACUUCUUGCUCUUUCUUUUCAAAACUAUCUGUCCAUUACUGAUAAACAGCUACAUGAGAAGACGGAGCUUAGUAGUGUCAACACAGCGCUGCAUGACAUGAUCCACCAGUCAGAUCAGCAGUAAACAAUGCCUACUCCCUCCAACAGGCUUUUCCUGCGCUGAAUUAAAGUUUUAACUUGUGGAAAUAAGGAUUUUCAUUUUGUUUACUCUGGACUUGUGACACGUUUGCUUGGAUUAGAGCUGAUAGGACACUUAAGUCACGUUUAAGCCCCUAAAUGAAUGCACUUAUACAGUCAGGUGUCCUUAAGUGAACAGCCAGCACACUCUCACCUAAACUUGUUGUACUUAAGAGUGACUAAAACUCACAAAGUGCAACUUCACAUGGCGUGGAAAAUCACUAAAUAAGGAGACAGAAGCUGCCAAUCUUCAGCUAAUGUGGAGCACAGUGUGGCUAACUCUGAUGUUGUUCCUUUGAGUUGCAGCGUCAUGUUUAAAGCUCCUGUUAGGAGUUUUUUUGACAUUUAUGAAAUUGGCUGAAAUUCCUAAAGAUGCCUUUUUAGGAUAAACAAAAGCAAACAAGACCAUCAGAGACAAGAUUGGCGAUGUUUAUUCUGUUAAUUUUAACUCCUGAAACUGGUGAUAGGUGAUAAGCCGUUUUUUUACAUUUCUGGCAUCAAGAAUCUACAAAAAAUUAUACAUGUGUCUUUCAAAGAUCAGGGGGAUGAGAUUUUUUACAAAGAAAACUAUCUCAACAUGUGAAGGACCUAAUGAGAGAAGAUUACGGUAGCUCAUUCUGUUUGCUAGGUUAGCUUGAACUGUUCACAGCUGUGAACAGCUGUGAACAGCUACGAAGGCUGCAUCCGCUGAUCGUGGCUGAUGGUAACCAUUCAAGUUAAUAUGUCAAUUUCCACCGGCUUCUUUCCAUUCUGCUGCGGAUCGCCGGACUUCGCAGCUGAUCGCAAGAGUUCUAUUUUUUCUGGACAUCGGAGCAUGGCAGUUAAAUCCAGCACAGAUUAACUUGUGCUGGAAAGGAAGUUGGGCAAGUUGCGGGGAUGAACAAGUGAAAGGUUUUUAGACAGCAUUUCAUCCUUAUGACACCAUGGAUGAGAGGAUGCUGAUUAUCAUGCGACUGCGCUUGAAUCUGCAGGGUUUUGUAAGUUCCCGUGAUUCCUACUGUCCGUAAUCUGCUACGGCAUUCGCCUCGCAAAUGGAUCUGGUAGGAAUUGGCGUAAAGUGAAAAUCGCCACCAUUCCAGAUCGGAGUUGUUCUGGUUGCGGUGAAGAUUGGGUGUAAGAGUGGCUCAUCUCUGGUCGAUGGUAACUUUAAAUGUUGGCUAAGGUAACAUGAGUUAUACUAGAGGACUGCUCAGAAUGAGUCUGCACCUCAAUAUUAUGUUUUUGAACCUAUUACACCAAAUUUUCUCCAGAGUUAAGUUAUUGAAGAGGCUCUACAUUGACAAUUUACUGCUAUAGUUCCUGUACUGAGCUAACUGGAUGUAGCUUUAUGUUUAAUAGGCCAGUAUAAUAGAAGUAUCUUCUCAUUCAACCUCUUAAAAUAAGUAAAAUGAAAACAAAUGUUGCAUAUUUUUAUUGUACUGCAGAGAAAGUUUCAGGAGAUUACUUAACAAUGGAGCAGAACAACCAGGAAGAGCUCCCUGAGAUGCUUCUGCUGAUUUCCUCUCCUGAUACUCGAGUCCAGCUGCUCCGCUAUAAGAUCACAUCCCAUUUUCUCAAAUGUCAAAGCAGUCCUCCAAACCCACAUAAUGCAAACUUAACCCUCCUGUCCCUUUCAUUGAAUUCAUCCAAAAACAUGCUCACUCCAGUCAUGUGGCUCCGGCUGUAAAGAACAUCCUAAAUCCCCUCAGAAGUUCUGCAAACCAGGGCCUAUAGAGGAACAUCAAACUGGAUCUGAACUAGACCAAACUGGAUUAAAGGAGACACUCGAUCAAACCGGCGCAGACAUAACACAUGUGAGGGGACUGUCCCUCUUCCUCCCUGUGGUCCUUAUCAGAACAAUGACAUCACUGUGGUGUUGUCCGCCUGUGACAUUACCAAAUAUGUGGCGACUGUUGAGGGGGAAAAGGAGCAGAAGAGUGAUGAUGGGAAUGAGAAGAAGAUGGAAAGAGGGAUGCAUUGACCGAGACAGAAGCAGUGUUUGAAAGAGAAAGAGAGGGGGGAUAAGAGGGAGAAAGCCUCGAGCUGCGGCUUGGCUGAACUCACCAUGAACCUCUGCAGAUUUAUUUUCUCCAGAGCCUGUUGCUUGCUCAAAGGGGGCCAGAUUUACAUGCUUCUCCCCGGGCUGCUGUGCAGAGCGGCUCAGGGAGAGCUGAGGAUGGGAUAAGUGGACAAUAUGGAGCCUUUCUGAAGGUUACAAAGGUUAGAAGGAAAUAAGGUCGCAGGUAUAGAGCCCACUUUCUUCUCCAUUACUCCCUGGCCUUGGGUUGAAUAUUCCUUCUUACCAGCUCGCCAAGCUAAUUAGAAACACUCCCUCUAUUAAGCGGGGUGUUUCAUUUUAAACCCCGUCAUUUGUUGCUGGCAGAGCUGGUGUGAGCCGAUGGAUCUCUGCUCCCACAGCUCGCCGCCUGCAUCAACCAACGGUCGAGGUUAUGUAAUUUUUAACACGAUCUGGUUUAUGUAAGCUGAAACAUAAUGGGCCGCUCUGACACAUGCACAGACAAGAGAAUCGACAGGAAUCAGUGUGUGCACAAAAACAGGUGUGGAAGUCAUCUCAGGCCUUAAAUUACAAGAAAACAGGAAGAAAUCAACCGACACACUUGAAGUUUUCUAUUCUCAGAUAUGUUGAGGUACUGCAUUAAUUAGCUGCAACUAUCAAUCAGUAUGUUUACUUAACACUCGAGAAAACCGAAUUAUUGCCUCAUUCUGAUUAAGACCGGACAACUGAAGUGCAUGUGAACACCUUAGUCCGACUCCAAUCGGAGUUUGAGAACUCCGACUAAGACACCCAGAUAAUGCGAUUGGAAUUCGAUUUUCUCUACCAUGUAACCAGCGGAGUUGGAGUAUGAUCGGACAAUGCAUGUGCGUGUGCGCCACGCCCCUGUAACCCCAGAUCAAAAACACCAGAGAAGAGGAGUAGCGUGCACCACAUCUGUAGAAAAAGUAGCGCGUACAUCAUGUAAGACAAAAACAACGCUGUACGAUUCUCCAUCUUCUUGCUCGAAAACGCUCAGCGGCAGUUGUAGACACUUCUGAUGUCUGGUGUUGUUGGGUCAACCAAAAACAGCGCCGCUAAAAGGACCCCUAGUUUUGGGGAGGGGGACACAUUCACGUAAAUAAUUCGAUUUUCUCAGCUGCAUGUACACACAGUCAGGGAGAGAAGUGCGAUUCGGCGAAUUAUGAGCUUUAUCCAAUUAAGCUGUGCAUGAAAACGACUGAAUGUAUAUACUGAAUAAAACUGUUUAUAGUAAUUUUUGGGGGUGUCUAAUGAGAUUUAUGACACUUUUUAAAAGCAGCUGCAUCUUGUCGCUUCAUCUACUGAAUAUCUGAAAUAAAACAGUGAAGCUUCAGAAAAAUCAACCCCAGAAACUCUUGUACAAGCGACCCUGCACGCAGCGCCAAAACUGUGGUAAAAAUCUAAGACGUAGAAAAUUCACCUCUUGUUUAGUUUAAUUGGACUCUGUAUGUGUUACCUUGUCAACUCCUUCCAGUAGAGUGUCAGUAGAGUAUAUCUUAUCAAGACAGAAUUGUGUGCAAGCUCACAGCUGAGGCCGCUGAGGAGGAGAGGAAUUAACUAGCUGUCCUCUGACUCAACUCUCUGUGAGCUGCUUGUGGAAGCAGAGGUCAGCCACUCCGGCUUUCAGUUCAUUUUCCCCUCCCUACAUUCUGCUGUUUUAGCUGAGGAGGCCAGGGUGGGGGUGACAUUAGGGGGUCCGAGGGAGGAAGGAAGGCCCACAGCUCCUGAACCCGCUUUGUCUGACAGGUAACGCUCAACACGCCUGUAGGAGCGGCCCAGCUGUGACCUGGAGGAGGGGGUGAUAGGGUGAGAGGGCAGACAGGAGGUAAUUGUAAAACAGCUCUGCUCACUUGAUCAUGAUCUCAUUUUUGAUUUCACAACUUAUGAUCAAGACAAUGGAAAACAACAGCAUCAAUGAAAUUGCUGGUUGCAACACAUUUUUAAAUCUUUGCAGACUAUUUUUUUUAGGACUUUGCAAUUUUUGUUCUCCCUCCUCAGAAGAGUAGAGGAACUUUCUGUUGCACUCUUUGCUAAAUAUGUCAAGUUUACUUCCCUAACUGACUGCAAUGCUAAUACAUUUAAUUUGCUGAGUCAGAUGAAUUAGUGAUAAUGUGUAAUGUGAUUUUGUGUAUCUCUGCUAUAAUCAGAAACAGAGAAGUUGGAGUGGAAAGAUUUUAGUCUCCGGAGUCUUGGCGAUUCUUUCCCCUCAUAUUUUGAUUGGCCUGGUCUGCUUGUGUAAUAAUGCUUACAUAACCUCCACAUUGUAAUGAAAAAUAAAUUAAUGGGCGUCUUUUUUUUUCUCAAGGCAAGCUGGACUAUCAUAAUAUGUGUGCCGCUGUGAUUUGAGAAAAUGUUUAAAAAGAAUAGAAAAGUUACAGGAUAAAUCUGAGAACUUUAUUGCAAUGUGACGGAUUAUAAAAGUUAGUGAGGUCCAGUGGUGUGUUUGUACGAUUGGAGUUUAGCUGCUGGAGUGAACUUAAGAGGUUCUGGGCAGAUGUCUGGAGCUCUGCCUGAUUUCCAAUAUGGAUAUGAGACUCUUGACUCUGACUUCAAGUGAUCCAAAUCUGUCCCAGGACUGGAAAGAUGUGGAUGUUGACUAGUCCUGGGUUUGGAUUGAUCUGGAUCUUGACCUCGUCCAGGAUUUAGAGGAUCUGGAACUUGGUCUGCCAUUCUGCUAAGAUGUGGGGUUUUCAGGGGUUUUAGCAGGGACACAAGGCAUGUCUUAAUCCUCAGAAUUAUCGCCUUCUGGCUAUCGUCUUCUGUGCCUAGAUCGUAAAAGACUGGUGCAUCAUCAUUAUUGGUCCCCGGCAGCUCACUUCCGUUGUAGCUUCUUUUAUUUGCAUCCUUUUAUUUUCACACUAACUUUUUUUUCCAUUGCCACUUUUUGUUACAUCAUUAACUUGUGUUGUGGCUUUUCUUUGUAUCUGUACUGCUUCUUUUUACCUCCGCCAAGGAGGUUAUGUUUUCAGUAGCGUUGGUUUGUUUGUAUGUUUGUCUGUUAGCAACUUUACAGAGAAAGUAACAGACGGAUUGACCUGAAAUUUUCACCAGAGGUGCGUCUCAGCCCCAGGACGAUCCCAUUACAUUUUGGUGGUGAUCCAGAUCGCCUUCUGGAUCAAGGAAUUUUUUUAAGGAUUCUUUAUCAUUGUAAGAUAGGGCAAAUUGUGGAAUUUUUGCAUUUAACUCUGUAAAAAUGGCCAGAGUCUUUAGUAAAAAAUUACACAAAAUGAUCUCAAUGAGUUUUAUGAGGUGUCAAAAGUUGAUCCUGAUCCAGUCAAAAUUCCGGAUACUGUGAUCCGGAACACACAAAAAUAAGGGUGUUGUUGGAAUUUUCAAUGCUGAAAGAUAACCAAUAAAGAAACAAGGAAGUGUACGCCUACAAAUAUUGCUUAACUAAAUCAUGCAUUUAUGUAUCUAAUAUGAGCUUUGUUGUUUUAGGAACAUUAUGAACAGUGAACAUACCAGUUUAAACACAAAUAAAAUUUAAUAAAAGACACGUAGCAGUAAAAGUUUUGGUGUGAAUCACAAUAUAAGGGGGGACAUGAGCUGCUUGGCGGAGGUCUGCGCUCUCCGAGUGCUUUUCUAGUUUAAUUUGCAGCGAGCUUUGGUUUCUUCCUUUUUUUUUUUUUUCAUCGCUAACUUCCGUUGUGACUUUUUUAUUUUUAUUUUUUGCAUUUUUUUUAUUUGCAGCAGUGGCGGUUCUCGGCCACCGUACCAUGGGACUCAUUUGGAGAAAGGAGCAAUGAGAGACGGCUGGUUUGUUGGUGAGUUUAAAGCCUGUCUACAGUACUAAUGUUGGUACUUUCUCAAUAACUACUGUAAAUUGCUGAAGCCUGGACACCUUCCCACAAAUGUUGAUUAAAGAACCACCAUUGUACGUGUAAAACGGGUUUGCAUAUAUUAAAUAAAGAACAAUCAAUCCUAAGCUGGAUCCGGUUCUUGUUGGUGUAAAAUCUCAUCAUUAGUCAGAAAACUUUCUGCUCCAGACUCAGCCUCAUCAUCACUUUCACCAACAACAUCUGUUAAAACAUCAAGUUAAAAGCAGAGAAACUUUCCUGCUCGUCUCAAUCGUUGGCUCAUAGUUCGCUUUAGUAGCAGUACUUCAUAGUGCUUCAGUAACACCAGCUCUGAUUGGUCAGCAAGUCAAGAACACACGCAAUGAUUGGCUCCCCGCUUCAACUCCAAUGAGUGUGGGAAGGCUAAAAGGGAGGCUAACUAAACAAUAGCGGUUUCAACUUAAAAUAAAAGGUUUCUAAACUCUCUUGUAAAUUCCAGAUUAGAUUAACCAAUGCGGAGCUUUUCUAUGAAGCUUUGAAGACGCAUAUGAACCUCCAGGCUGAGUUUAAUCACUUAAAUAAGGACAGGAAUGCGCUGUAGUCCGCGAACAACACUCGGAGGCAGACAUGUUUUUAGCUGAGCUACGGUGGCCCCGAUGACCAUAUCACACGAAAAGCAAAAGACAAAGACGAAAAUUUUGUCAGAAACGCGAAUAUUUUUCCAUAAAACACAAGAAAAGUAUAGAGUACAAUAGAAUUAAACUGAAUUAAUCCUCCAAAGGGUAAAUUCAUAUUGUCAGAGCAGCAAUAGAUACGACAGGACACACAAGAGGUAUCAUCAAAAUAUAACAAAACAUCCCUUUUAUUCUCUGAAAUAUCCUUACAUUCUGCAUUUUCAUGGCAACUCUGUGUGUGUUGUGAAAUGAUAUUGUGUUCAAUGUAGCAUUUUGAGGUUUUGGAAAAAUAUUUCUACUCCUCUUGAGAUUAUUAUUAUUAUUUUAAGUGUUUGAAGGAAAACUGGAUGGAGAAAACGGACACUUAGGGGUUAAAAUAUGAAGUCUGCUUGUAAUAAUGGCCACAUGCUAAGACUGGUUUGAUUUGUGUAUGGAUAAAGUGCUUUUUCUCAGGUUUGAGACUUAGAGACUCGUGUGAUCAUGUGCUUAAAGAGAGCUGAGGCAUAUGGAAGUCAAUAUUUCAAGUGAUGUUUCAAUUAGAAACGUCCAACACCACAUUAUUACACUCCUGCAGACUCCCCAAAACCACCAAAACCACUCACAUAGCGCACUACACAUACACAAGUACAAACACCCUAAAACCACAUGUUUUUGCUCGCAUAAAGGCUGCGCUGUCUUUAUGUUUUCAGGCUGGUGGUGUUAUCAGAACUAUGCGCACACACAAGCACACACUCCGACACUCGGGGGCAAGAGUGGGAGGAGCAGAUCAAAGAAAGUGUGGUUAAAAAAGAACACCCAGGGACACCCACCUCCACAUAAACAGGGGAUCUCCUUACCAAAAACAAAGAGGCCUGAGCAGCCAACCCACAUCCAGCGGAACAGGGAGGGGUGAAGGAGCUUAGGGAGAGGGGAGGAAGGGGGAGGGAGGGAUCAGAAAACAUGUAAGAUGGGCGGAAAGGUAGAGCAAAAUCAUUCAUUACUGUAAUUACAACCUGAGCCCACUCACUCUUUCAUUCAGAAAAGAGGAGAAAAGAAGCAGAGGAGAGAUUAAACUUCCCACAAAGGUGUUUACCGCACACAAGGAGAAAUCUUUUUUUAAUUCUUUCUUCAAAUGAGUCCUCCAAAGGCAUAAACAGAGAGGAACACACAUGUGACGCUCCACGGGGGAUCCUUAAUCGGUUCAAGUGAUGAGGUUUAUGUCAGUAAAUAACAUGAGCUAUGAAAGUGCUGUGUCAGGGUCUACAUCAGGGUAUUUAUUUUCCCAUAAAACAUCUGAAUCAUGCUCUCACUCACCACCUCACAAGAGUCGUUAUACCUCCAAAGCAGAGCUGUGUUUGAGUGCCAAAUAAAUAUUUACUUCUUUGUUGUUUUUGCCCUCAUGUUUCAAACUGGACACAAAUCAUAAUUGAAUGUCUUUGAUGAAUAGUUUCACAAUUUAGGAAAUGCUUUUAUGUGUUUUUUUUCUACCAAGCAACAACCUCCAGUGUUGAUGUAUGAAGUCCAAAACAGUGCAGUUCUUGAUGUCCGCCAUGAAGGUUAACAUUGACACCCAUGUUAAAAUGCCGAUUGUUAUGGCGGAUAUAAACACGUUUAAAGCCGGGAACAAAAAAUAAAAAAGUUUUGUAAAGAGUUGAACUUGUUAACUUUUUGAAAAAAAAAAAAAAAAGAGGUAAUUAUAACUGUUUGAAUGUAAGUAGUUGUUAAAAAUGUGGAUAAACUUUUGUUAAAGUCACUUGGACUAUUACAGUUCAGUUUAUGUCUUAGGCUACGUUUACACUGCAGGUUAUGAUGCACAAUUCGGAUUUUUAGUUAAGUCCGAUCUUUUUGUGCGGUCAGUCACAUUAGAACAACGAAUGCGGCAUCCAAUGUGAACAGAAUGCGUCCAAAAGUGACCCGCAUGCACACAAAUUGCUUUCCGCGCCUGUUUGUGUUGUCGAACAAUGGUGACAUUCUUUGCAUAUUGAUGAAGUAUAGGUCAGAUUAACGUGACCUGAGCAUCCACACUGCAGUCACAUCGGAUUCAUAUCCGAUUUACAUCCACAUACAAAAGAGGCCUGGGUUGGAUUUGAAAAAAUCAGAAUUGCACUGUUCACACUUAAAUGAAAAAAUCUGAUAUGUGUCACAUAUGGUUAAAAAUCGGAAUUGACCUGCAGUGUGAACAUAGCCCUAGACGAAGCUCAUGGUUAAAAGAUAGAUUAGUUAAAUGUGUUUAAAAAAUAGACCACGCUAUAUAUUUUUUUAUCUUUGUUGUGUCUGUAAAAGCGAAGUUUCAGUGUCACCCUGUAAGGACAAUACUUAAACACACCACCAGAGGGCGCGCAGUCCCUGUGAAGCACAUGAUACCCAUUAAAGAAACACUUUAGCCGAGCUGAACACAUGCGAAACUUCAUUUGUUUUCACAUACAGGUGAGUUAGUAGGCUUAAAUCAAACAUCUACAGUACAUCCCAGUAUGAGGGGUACCAGUGCUGUGAAUGUUUUUCCGUAGUUUUGCUGUUUUGAAUCUAUUUUGAGAUGUUGCUAUUAGGCUAGCACACCUGUUGCUAAUCCCCACAGGGAAGUACUGAUGAGACACAUGGAGGGGUUUGAUUACUUUGCAAACAAAUUUUCAGUAAAAUAAGAUGAUAGGGUUCAACUCAAGGGAAACUGUUGUAACAUUUACGGUUAACACCAUACUUGAGCUCAUUUCUCCUUUGCACACACUAUACAGGUAUGAUUUUUAAUUUUAAUCCAUCAGUUUGGAUGAAGUGUAGUCUAAGGGUUUUACACAAUUACUGAAGUGACUGUAUGGUUGGGGCAUCUUAGGUUUUCUCCCCAUGCAGGAGACUUUCAGCUUGCCUCAUCUUCACCUCAAGGUUGAGUCAGCAUUUCCAAUCUGGUGUCUGCCAUCAUGAGGCUUAACCCCACUUCGUAACCUCAUGGAUGGUGUAACUGGAGACACUGUGUUUCAUGCAGCCCAUGGUUGUUGCUAAGAUAUGAGGAUCAGUAAAUUGCAUUAAAGCAGCUGAUAUGAAUAUUUUUACAAUAGUGAUGAAUUAAAGGAGGUGUUGGUUAGUCUUUCAGAUCUCUACUCUUGAGUGGCAGAUGGGGCAUACCUCCCUCAUGCCUCUAUAUGAGAAUUUUAAUAUUGUAAAAAUUGUUGGGCGACCUUUCACAGUCAUUUUCAGCUUUCAUUAUGCCAGUCGAUGACACCUAUAAAGGAUGUUUGCUGUUCAUAAAACUAAUUUUUGAAUCAUUUUGUUCUUAUCAUACAAAGUUAGUCAUGGCUUGUGGGUGUUACUUUUUCUUGUAAAGUCAUGAAACAACUCAAUGAGGGUGACUUUUCAGGAACAAGGGACCAUUAAGGUGUUUUUAGUCCCAGGGUAUUGGGUCGGUCCGUCAAAGACCACAUCUAGACGUCAGUGUGACGUGCAAAAUAGGUUAGAAAUUUCAACCUCCAAAUUGGACCUUUUUUAGACGUUGCUCUGACGUUUAGAAUUUGGACGUCAUCUGAAGACCAAAUCUAGACGUCGGCAUAACUUGCAAAAUGGAUUCAAGAUUUACACGUCAUUUUUGGACCUCUUUAAGACGUUAAAAUGACAUCCACGUUUGUACCUCAUUGUCGAAAAAUGUGGUAAAUAGAUGUCAUUUUGAUGUCGCAUUGCGCAGUGGGGAAAUGGUACUCCACUGGGAGGCUGAAGUCCUGGGUAAAUAAUGCAAAUAAGAACAAUAACAUCUAUGUCUGACCAAAGGCCUCAAUAAGGUGCAAAGUGGGACAUGUAACAGCCAAUAGGCCAGACGAGGAGAUGGUACAGACCAAACACAAAGCUCAAAGGAGGUUCUUGCCUGUUUUCUAUACAUCAAUAUUAACAAAUACUUGCUCACAAAUUAGCCACAAUAUUCAAUCAACAGUUACAUAAGAAGGUUUACUCUUUACCAGACAGUCUUAAAACCCUUUUGCUGCAGCCAGCACCUGGUUAGAUUAGCCUGGCAGAAAAGGAGAGAACAGUCAGCAGUCCAAAGGUCACAAAAUCUGAAUAUUAGCAGCUAUAAUGCUCUUUAAUUGGCACAUUUCAUCUUAUUUGCCUAAUCCACUCUGUAGAGCAGGUUUCCCCCUGAAUAAACAGUUGAAUAAGUGGUAUCAGUCUCGGCAUCUGAGUCUCAACAGGAAAAUAAACGAGUUCAUUUCCCCUGAAGGAAAAAACAAAGUGACAGAACCGAAAAUUGAUAUCAGAUCAUCAAAUAUUAAACAGAAUACACAUUCUGUGCUCUCAGAAACUCUGAGGAAACUUCUCUUUAGCAGUGACUCUAAAAUCCCUUUCCCUCAUCACUUUACAUAACAGACUCCGGGCUUCAAACUAUGUCUGCCUGUGUUUGUGGAACAUGUUCUGAAGUAGGUUGACUCACUUUCUGACCACAGCUUGUAGCCUCUUGGUUUCUUUACAGCCUCCCCUCAAUGUGUUUACCUUGCUCUCAUCUCCGUGUCCCUCAGGACUCCUUAACCACCACCCUGGGUGUCCCUCUGGGGGGAAACAAUCGGCCGAGCGGAGGAAAGGAAACAAAAGCUCUGAUGUGAUCUGAGGACAUCAACAAUGCCUGGAAAGUUCACCUGCCGUCACAUACUGCAAGGGAAGCCGUUUCCAGUCAUUCAGGAGACCCACAGGUGUUUUUUCCAUGCUCGGAAAUAAGCAUCAAGUAACACUAAGUAUAAAAUAUGAUACUGCGAACGCACAGAAAAGUAGACAAUAAGUCUGCUUAUAUGCAUGUAUAUCAAAUGUUUUAUGUAUAGAGUUUGUGGUUUGUGCUGGGUAUGUGGUCCAAACUGGAGGCCUGUUUGUGGAAGAACUUGAUACAGUGAGGAAAGGAGACAGUAUAACUCAUCCGUAACAUUUCCUCUGUAGUUAUCCUUUGAUUCUCCCACAAAGAGGUCGCAGACAUGGCUUUGUUAGGUUUUGGUUUUUGCCUCCAUUGUGUAUGUUUGAGUGAAGGUCAUGAGUCUCAGUCAGGAGGACAAAGUUUCAGACUCAUCUGGAGAGGGUGGGUAAGUGCUUUUGUUUUCCUAACUGGCGCAGAGACAGAGCACAAGUGACACCUAGUGGACUGGAGCAGUACUGUGUGGGAAGUGAGGCCUUUUUUAAACACUUGAUCUGAUUCUUAAAACACUUGACUUUUGGUUUUAUGUCUCUCACACUUCACCUUCAGUCUUGUUCUGGACACUUUGAAGAAUUACUCGUCUUUGGUAUUGUUGAAAUGAGCUUUUACAUUCAGGCAGUGAGUCGAAAUCCUUUUAGAUUGAGAGGUAAAUGAUUGAAAUUAAGCUAAAAAGGGGGUAAAUAUGAACAAGAGAAGUUGGUGUCACAGUAUGUAUCCACAGAGAUGUAUAUUCUGUGUGGUAUUUAAGGGAAACUAUGAGUGAAAUGUUGAAAAAUUGCUCAAAAAGUCCCAGGACAUAUACCUGCGAGUCUCUUCUUACAAGUUUCUUGUCAAUACUGAUUGUGAGUUAUACACAAAAUGAUGUCUGACUCUCCUGGAAAAUGAAUAGAGUCGUAUGUUAACAAAGAUAUGAGCAACAUCAACAGCUGAAUGUAAAAUUGGUAGAAAAAUCUGUAAUCAAUUUGUGCUUUUGUAAGUGUUACAGAGCUAAUAUGUUUACCCCACUUGCUUUUAUAUAAGAUUUAUUUAAUAAUUUGUAGUUGUGGCUGUAUGGCGUCUCUAUUUUAUCAUGCAGUAUUAUACCUGAUCAGCACUCACAAAACUGUAUCUGUAUGAGAGACAUGCUGCGAUGAGAAGAUUAGCAGCAGGAAGAACAAAAACUGUUUAUUAAAGGCACCAUUGGGGGUUUUAAAGUGGGUGAGAAAUUGAUAGUAUUGCCUCUUUACAACCGCCAAAGGCAAACAUGAUUAUCAGCCAAGAGACUUUGAUUUUUCUGUUGCGAUUUUUAGUAUACAGGACAAGAGAGAAAAUGUACUGCUUGACCACAGGGGGCGCCAAAACCAACACAAACCAAGCUUUACUGUUUCUUGUCGCAACUUAUGGAAUGAAUAGCUGUUUAUGUAAAUGAGUCCAAGCCAGGUUACUAUGGCUGGUACUCUAUAAUACGUGCAUAUAACAGCACUUUGCAUCCAUUAGCAUGUUAGCUAGGCUCAAUAGUGCUGACCCCAAUACGCCAUCUGUAUGACUGAGCACAACCUAUUUUCUUCCUGUUUGGAGAGAAAACGUUUAUUGAGCCAGGUAGCUGCAGUGACGUGUUUUUGAGCCUUACCUCCAGUUUUCACCACUACCAGAACGGCAGCGAUUUCUGCUGUCCACCAACUCCUACCGGAUCCGUUUGUGAGGUGAAUUUCAUGGCGGAUAACGGACAGCAGGAAUCGUGAGAACUCACAAGAACCCGCGUAUUCGCGUGGAAUCGCGCGAUAUCAAGUUGUCUUUAGCCACAUAGGCUAACCAUAUAAGCAGUAGAUUGUGUCCUUCCAGAGGAGGAAAUCGACUUCUAGACUUCUAAAAUCAGCAUCUCCUCAUCCACGGUGUCAUCAGGAUGAAAUGCUGUCUAUAAAACUUUCACUUGUUUCUCCCCGCCUGUUUGCAUGGUGUGAAAUACGAUCAGCCUGAAAUACAGAGUUUUUAACAUUUUUUUAGAGAAGCCGGAUGUUUUAUUUUGUGUCUGUGACCAACUUCCUUUCCAGCAGAGGUUAAUCUGUGCCGGAUUUACCCCGCAUGCUCUGUUGUCUGGAAAAGAUAGAACUCUUGCGAUCAGUUGAGGAGUCUGGCGAUCCGCAGCAUAAUGGAAAGAAGCUGGUGGAAAUUGACACGUUAACUUUAAUGGUUACGAUCAGCAGAUACAGCCUUUUAGUAGACAUUCUGGAUGCGAUGGAAAUUGGGGGCUAGGUGCUCGAAUCCAGUUCAAGUUUAGUGAAGUGAUGACAGCUAGAAGUCACUUUAAGUUUUGAAUGACUUUCCAAGUUUGUUUGUGAGCUUUAGAGGAGCUGGUGUCUCCAAACAGCCUUUCCCCCCUGUUUAGCUUUAAUGUCAGGCCUGCUGCCGGGCUUAACUUUAUUAUUUUCCUUAAUUAUUUUACCAGGAAAGCUUCAACUGAGUUAAAAGGUCUCUUUGACAAGACUGUAUCAGCCAAGACAAACAGCACAUUUGAACAAAAUUCGCACACGAGGACACAUGACAGGUUACAUCGGGUCAACAUAUCCGGGGUCACACAGCGUGAUGGUGUCCUCCAACGCCAUUCAACAAAUCAAGAUGCACUUUUGAGAUGAAGAUUGAUUUCUCCAGAUCUAACUUAAUUGGAUCUUGUCACAUUAACAACAAUAAAACCCUAAUAACCUCAUGCAUUUGGUGAGUUAAACCAAAAUAGUUCACACCUGUCAGUCAGUGAAGUAUGGAAAUGAUUCAUAAUCUCGUUUAAGAACCACAAACAUGUGAAUAUGAGGGUUAUUAGAUCCUAUUAGCCUAAGUUAACCUCUUUUCAAACAUAAAUGGUGCGUUUCAUGAGAGAUGACUGAUUCCUCCGACAUAAAAGAGCUCGUAUCGAGAUGAUAAGUCAUGAGUUAUACGACCUGUGGCCUUCCAGGGUGAAUUAAAGCUUCUUCACAUGAAUUCAAUGUUACAGAGUCAUGCUCUGACAACAGCCUCAUAACCAGAGUGAAGUCAGAUGCUUCCCUCCAAGAACUGGAUGCUGUCUUUCCUGAGCUUCAGUCCAACAUUACAUCAUGCAUACUUGAAGACUUUGCUGUGAUUUCAAAGCACAGGGUGGGCCCUACGUUUUUAUGAGCCUUUUUAUUUAUUUAUGUGUUUCUGUCCAUUUUUCCUCCUCCCCUCUCUCUUCCCAGUUUUUUUUUCUUGUUAUUAUAGAGAGUGUAAGUAGCGGUCAGGACAUCUGCAUCCAUCUGUAUGUUUCUCUUCUGCUGACCUGAAACAACUCCCCUUCCUCCAUAGAUGUCGAGCAGACACGCCUUUCUAAACAGAGUCCUCAAUGACUGAUUGUGUGGACUCCUGUGAAGCUCCUCUCCUUCCACCCAUCAAACUGCUGCUCCCGCUACGGCCCAUUUAGUAAUAUACAUAGACACACGUGUGCGCGGCCUUUGUAUACAGAAAGCGGUGUGUGUCAUGUAAAUAUAGUUACACACAGUCAUUCUAACACAUCCAUGCACGAGUACAGAGCAGCACAGCGGCCUUGUUUCUGCUGAUGCUCCAUCUGCAGCCCAGAUGUGCCGCAGCGCUCUGAGGUGCCGCUGAGCGCAGGAUGUUUUGCAUUCCCUCUGUGGAACAUGUGAGGCGUUCCUGUGGGCCGUCCGUCUGGCUGCAUUAGUCUGUGUGUCAUGGGGAUGUGUUCGCCUCAGCCCCUCGUCGGCUGGCUCCAGGGGGUUUGGGUACGACUGUUAGCGGGCUAAUUCGGCACAGAUGUCGGGUGCUGAAUCAGGUGGUGAGAGGAAACUCCGGUACCGGCGGGAGGGAGACACUGGCUGCCCUGUGUGGUGGUCCAGCCCCUUCAUGAGCAAAUCCUCCCAGCUUGUUCCUGUUUCAGUCAAAGCUGAGGUGGAGAAUAGUAAUGUUUUUAUGGUGUACUGUAUCUGCUCUCUAAUGACAAGACUGUUUCCUUUUUUAUGACUCCAAAAACUCCUAAAACUGAUUUUAUAUUUUUGUUUUUGAGUUUCAGAGGAAUAAAACUUUACAGGCCCGACCUGCACGACUUCGGAGGAAGGGAGUAAACGCAAGAUAAAACUUUCUGAUGUUGUUUACUUAACCUUACUCUGAAAGGGUGUUUACAUCACGGAGUAUUUUUUUAUGUUCUUGUAAUUUUGCAAAAGAAAGUAAUACAACCACUAUGGUUAAUCUUUAACUUUGAUAAUCGAUAAGAAAAGUUGGAUUAAGAUAAAUACCAUUAUCUCCAUUGUUUUGCAAGUAUUAAAACCUUGUGCCCACAUUAUUUGUCAUAGUGGGUCAUGUAUCUUUUUACCAUUGCAUCGCAUUUACCUCGAGCUAAUUUUAAAGCCAACCAGUCAGAAUCAAAAAGAGGCGGGCAUCUGUUAGCAAGUUUGUCAACGACAAUCGCAGAUGUCUGGGAGGUACAUUUCCCAGUGCUAGAGCUAAUACUAAUGCUGUGACACCAUAGACCGUGUAUAUAGAAUGGACGCCGUCUGCCUCCUCGCUGAGUGAAGCCACCCCAAGAACAGCACCCUCUGGUGACAGGCUGCAGUAUAGGUCAUAAAUCCCGCCUCCGCCAGCAAAGCUUAUGGAGCUGUGGACAUGUAGUUAUUGCAAGACUGGUUUGUGCUGGCUUGCUGUUUGAGACAAGCGUCAUCACAGCGACUCCCGCCCAAUGUGUCCAAUGCUAUUGCACAAUGUUGGUUUCAGGAAGUGGAGAGAAAAAAAAGGAAUACAGAGAGCUUUUUGGCUUCAAAUCCGUAGACUGGUGGAUGGCGGGAACCAAGUUGUCCAUAGUAUAUACAGUCUCUGUUUGACACACAGUUUGUCUCUUUGUGAAAUGCCAUCGAAUGAAAGCUAUUAUAAAGCACAAAGAGCACUGUAAAACAGACGUAAUGUUAACUACUUGGAAGGUAGCAGAAGUUCGGCAAUUUUUGAGUCUGCCAGCGCAGACUCAUAAAAACUCGCCAUGGACAGUAUAUCAAUAUCAUCUUUAAGCUUGAUCAUUUUUAAUCCUUAUAAAUACUGCUAAAGCAUGCCUUUACUGUAGUUAUUAAAACUGAUGUCCAACAUUUUAAACCUUCAACACUUAAUAUAUUCUCAUUGAAUUUGAUCAAAAUGAGAAAGAAACACCUCAAGUUUGAAAUUCACCUCUUCAAAUCUAAACCAGGCCACUAAAAUGUGGAUUACAACCAGGAAAGAUUGCGUCAUCCCUGCUGUCCCCCCUCUGUUUUUACUAGUUACAUUUCAUGUAGUAAAUGUGCAGCUUAUUGUGCAGUUAAAGCCGCACAGGAACUCUUUAAUUUGCACAAACCUUGGAGAGGAAGUAUCAGGGACAUGACACAGAUAUCAUUAGCAGCAGUUUGCUUCACAAUGAAGACGUCACAAGUGGAAACUUAACAUUAAAUAAAGGAAUAUACUUAAAAUCCCAUGUUUUCUUUAAAUUUCGAUUUGAUGAAUCAGCUCCUGUCUCUUAUAGACGACAAACCAGUGUCGUGUUGCUUUGUCGGUACUGAAGUUGGUAUCUGAACAGCUCCUUUCGGGCUCAUUUCUUUCGGCAGUACAUGCCGUUGGCCGGCGCCUCCACAGCUGGCAGACGACAUAUUCCAUCCCAAGCAAUCGUGGCCCUCACCACCUGCUAUAGGGUCAUGGUUAUAGUGUGAGCCUGUUUAAGAUCUGCACUGUGUGUGUGUGUGGGGAUGUGUGUAUGUGCGUGUGAUGGGUGUCUGCUUAUAGAGGAAGAAGAUGCUUUAAUACACACACAUGUAACUGACACAGCAUGAGGCUCCAUUGUGUCCUAAUCAGUAUACCAAGAGAACUGAAUAACCAAUAUGUCCUCCGUCCUCCGCUCCAGUUGAGCGAGUAUGUCCAGAUAGAGACGGAGAGGGACGGAGAGCUGGAAUUCCUCUUUGAUCACGGCGUCCGUUGGUCAAUGGGACGUGGCGUUUGCCGAGGGGGUGCGCAGGCUGAGGAGGCUGCAGGGGCCGGAGCAACAGGGAGAGAGUGCUCAAUUGUCUUGUCCCUUUCUUUUUAUAUUUCUCAGGGACAUACACCCCCACCAAGAAGCCGAUACCGAGGUCAGGACCUUCUGCCCCCCCCUUCGUUUUUGCUCAUUCUUGACGGACGCUCUCUGUCAUGUAUAACUGCUGAACAAACCCCCUUUCCUCCCUCAACUGUCUCCCACAAGUACUUUCUUGCCACCCUGCUCCUUUAUGCAGGAGGUGGAGGUCGAGGCGUUGGCUUGGGGGUGGGGACGAGUUGGUCUGGAAACUUUUUUUUUUUUUUACAUAAAAGAGACAAAAACUGACAAAAUCUGGACAAAGACAAAUUGACUGCGAGUGUGUUUUAGUUCUGGAAGCAUCUGGUAGUUUUAUAAAAAGCAUUUCUAAGAAGCAGAAGGAGGCUGCUGUUUGUUUCAAGAGUCUGUUGUUAUUUACUCCAUUGUUACGUGAGCGGGCGAGUGUGCAGCCAAGCCAUCAAAGAACAGAACAUUUGGUCGUUAACAGAACUGUAGUGUUUGACAGAUGUAUAACAUAUUCUCUUUCUUGGAAAUGCUUUAUGGAACAACAAGUCUGCACCCAAAGCAUCUGCAGCGUUGAGAAGAAGCCUUUACAGGGCCUUUAGCUUUUAUUAUUCCCGUUUUCUGGCAUAAACUCAAAACCUGUUCGUGUCCAGCAUGUGGAAAACAAGAAGCAGAGUGUCACCAAUCCACAACUGAAAGAAGAAAGGACAGAUGAUUGGAUUAUUCUGCUUUUUUCAAGAGCUAACAAUAGUAACAUUGAUUGUUCAGGCAGAUUAAAGUGGUCGGUGUGCAGCGCAGAAGAGUAAGACUGAAGUUUUAGAGUCUGUGUUUGAAGCAGUGACACAUUUAGAUUAAUAGAUAGUUUGACAUGGAUGUGGUGGGAACACAGAUGUUCAACAUCUGAAAAGAUUUAUCUAAUGAAAUCUCUCAAUAAACAAAUUAAACGCUCUGCCCGUGUGCAGCUGUGAUACUGACGAUCCAUAUUAGAUUAAUAUAAUCUAAUAAAUCCAGGACGCAUCAAAAGAGAGCCAAACAAAUCUGACACUUCUGGGUCAAAACAAGUUAGUCUUGUUUAAGUAAAAGUCGGUCGCAUAUUCGUCAUUACUUUUAGUCAAAGUGUUUCCCGUCUAUGUCCAACAUCUACUUCAAACACUUCAGCUCGUCUCGUCUCUGUGGUUGAUGUUCGCUAAAUGAACGCCGUCAUUCAUUCUCAUCUUUGAAGCCAAAACGUCGUCCCUGCUGGUGUUGACAAACAAAGACCUGUGUGACUGUGACUUGGCUGGUCGUGUGGCCGGACAGACUUGAUAUCCCUGACUAUAACCCAGAGCCGGCACAAGCCUCAACAGGGCCCUAAGCAACAUUUGAUUAUGGGGCCCUCUAUUUCUGCCAGUAAUAUUGAUCGUUGAUCACCUUCACCUUCACAAAUCUCUUUAACAUUCCAUGACAUGCAAAUGUACCUUUAUCUUGGCAUGUUUUCUCUUCUUCCUCUUUCUUCCUCUUUCUUUUCUCUGUUCCUGAAGGAUACGUCCUUUUUUGCGACAUUGUUUCGCCCCAAAACUACCUGCUCUUUGGAUGAUCAGUGCACAUUACACAGCAGGAGGCACAUAACGGUAGCAGAGCUUUAACAUAUCGGCAGUAAUAAUCAUAGGCCGACAUCAGCAGCAGCACUAAAAAAUUUUUAUUUUAUUUUAUUUCCUUUUUACAAUAAUAUAUAUUUGAUCAUACAGAAAGCAUCACUCAUACAUGCAAAAUAUAAAAAAUAUUAAUUAUUAUUUUUUUUUUUUAUUGCUCUUGGGGGCCCCCUACUGGCUGCGGGACCCUUAGCAGGCGAGUAGUUCUCUUAUGCCUUGGGCCGGCUCUGCUAUAACCAAACUCCACAGUAAAAACAUACCCAUAAAAUGUCAAAGAUCCCUCUCCUCAGGUCUAGAAAAUCCACAGCAGAACUUAAUCUUGUGUUGAUUUGAGGCAGAGACAAACUCUUGUGCUGGUGUUUUAUAUAUUUUCUCCCUGUUUGUCCUCGACUGUGUUAAUCUGGAGAAUCUGCAGAAACUGUUCAUCAUCAUGGUGUUGAACCCGCUCUUUUGAAAAUCAAGGACACAAAAACUUUUAUAUCAGAAACCAUGUGUCAAAAAAAAAGUUUUUAAGUGUAUUUUAGUUUUAUAGAGAAGCCGAUCUGUGAUCUAUUAACAUUACAGAGACAGAGCUUAUGACCUAUACUGUAGGUGGCCACCAGGGGAGCUCUAAAUCCUUUGGCUUCAACCCAGACUGAUAAUUAUAGUGUUCUAUGUAUACACAGUGAUUUUAAGAGGUUUGAUAGAUGAGUGGGGUUUUUUACUCAAGAUGAUUUUAUUUAAAGCUAAUUUAAUUUUGCUUCAUGUUUAAUCUGAUUAAAAUAAUUUGAUAACCUUUGCAAAGUAAUCUGAUUAUCUCAUGUUUUUAACUGGUUAUGAAACAGACUGAAAUCAUCACUGAUUUAACUUUAUGACCUACAAAAGCAAAACAGACCAAAUCUGUCAUAAACAGGGAAAACAGCCACGAAUUUAUGAGCAAAAUAUUAUAUUUAGCAAACUACUGUGGUGUCGGUCAAGACAGUGAGAGGUGGAUGUAGCAGUGUGGAUGUAAUGUAGAGGUUCACCAUCCAAUGUGUCUGAGUGAGAAAUAGUUCAGGGACGAUGUUUAUUAUUGGUAAUUUGCAACGACUUUGAGGAUUUUAUCAUCUGUUUACCCAAAUUAAAAGAUCCUGCAGAAAUCUCUGUCGAAAAAAAAGGCAAAUCUGAUAAUUGAUUCUGGGUGGCUGUGAUCUUUAAACCCUCAGCUGGCACAGAGUCAUAACAGACAUGACUCUGCAGUGGAAAUCACAGCACGGACUCAAAGUCACAUCCCAAAACCUCCAGUCUGUGAACAGAGUCUGUUGCUGCAACAUCAACAAAUGCAAGUUAAUCAAAUAAACGUGCAAAUGAAUGUCAAAUUAAUUGUCUUUGCACUAUUUUCAAUGAAAUAGGAACUGAAAUGAUGCAAAUCAUCAGACUCUGCUUGCAUCAGCCUUUCUUAUAGCAUCUCAACUCUUUGAAUUAAGUUUUAAUAAACAAGUUUAAUUAUUUGACCCUCUUUCUGUACUUGAAUGUGGAAUAAUGCUUUCAGUCGAUCACCAAAAUUUGUCAUAAAGUGACCCUGUGAAUUGGAAAAUGAACAAGUUGAUCAGCUGUAUCUUGAAUUUAUCAAAGAAAACGAGUAAAAGUGAGAAGCUGCUGCUCUGGCGGCCUCUAGUGGAUGAAAAAUAGAAAAUAAAUAGAUAUUUAUAUAUGUUUAUAAUAUCUUUGUUGUCCAGCAGAGGGCAGCAUGUCUCUGAAAUUACAUAUUAACUCAAAGGUAGCAGCCAACUGUGGGCUUUUUCUGCCCCUCUGUGCAGUUUCUUCAUGUCAUACUUUGCCUUUUAUUUUUACUUUUCCCUCACUCUGUCUUUUUACUCUUAUUUUCUAUCUUCUCUUUUUCAGACGUUUGUUUUCUCUCUUUUUUCCACUGCCAGUUUAGUGGAGUUUCACACACACAGGCAGAAACGCUCAACAUAUGGUUUGCCUCUUGAGUUGUGUAGCUGUUUUCCCUCUUCUCUCCAUACUGAGUCUGCAAAACCCAUCACUCCAUCUGCCCCCCUCAAACCUCCUCCACCCCCUGUUUUUCCUCUCUUCCUGCUCCCUCUCCUCUCCUCUCCUCCUCCUCAUGCAUCCAUCUCCCCUUCCUACCUUUCCUCCCACUUGCCUUUAUUUCUUUCUUCGUUCUUCACCUGCACAUCCAUCUUUUUCUUCCUCUGUGUGACCGGAUGAGUCACUUCGGAUGACAUCAGCUCCACACUCACUGAGAUGAAAGAAACUGAAGGAAAGUCGAAGGUGGGAGAAGAUCAGUGUGUGGGCUUCUUCUUCUCACCACACCGGGUUCAUAUUUCUCACAUGUUUUUCUGACAAGGAUGCAAGACUGUGUGGAUUCUGGUCUUGUUUUUAACCCUCCUAACCCAGGAUCAUCUCAAAACUCCUCUCUAAUCCUCACAUUGAUUGGUUGUUUUUGUCAGGAGUUAAUCUCUGUCUCGUUUUUAGCGGGCCUGUUCAAUGUUUUAUGGUCAGAACUCUUGUUUCUAUAAUGACUUUUAAACUCAGUAAGGUGUUGAAUUCUGGUCAGAUUUAAAAAGACUAUUUUUAUCCUCUUUGAAGAUGAACUAGGACAACUAUUUGUCAGUUUUUAACAUUAAAAAGUCCAAAAAUAAUCUAAAAGGGGGUAAAUAUGAGUUUACCUGAGGGCAGAUAUUAUAGUUUAUUUGUUUGUUUAUUUAUUUGGAUCCCCAUUAGCUCCUCUUCCUAGGGUCCACAAGAAAACAUUCAACAUUCAUAUACAUUAAAAUGAUAAAAGUCCAAACAGGAGAAUUAUACAAGAUGUUAAAAUCAUAACUAAAACAAGAAUUAUGAUGACAUUACAUUUCCAAUUUAAAAAACACUAAACAGUUUGUCACUGUGAGAUUUCCCUACUCUUUCCUGUCCCUGCAGUUUGUACAGGUAUGCGUGAGUGUUGUGGGUUUUGGUUUACAAGCCUGUCGUGGCUCUCUGUAUCCUGUUCCUGGUCCCUUGAAGUCCCAUGUGGACCUCUGGAGGGUGUCUUUAACAACAAAGUCAGUUUGGUAUGUGUUUACUCAGAGCCGCCCUCAGUGUCUCCUCUCCUCCUCUGAAGCAGAAGCUGGCUGACAGAUAACAAACACCUCUCGGCGCUGACUGACCCACAGAUUUACGGCUUCAUAAAAGUCUGGUUUGGGGAUUUGGUUAACAGUUUCCCUUCAGGAGGUCAUUUGGAGCUGUUUUCUCCUCUGUCAGCACGUCAAACUGAGAGUGAAGAUAACCAGUCUGAAGCGAAGACAAUGCUUCCUGAAUGAGAGGAUGUUUUCUUGCCAAAUCAAAACCAUGUCAGUGUUAGCGUGUGGUGUAUUUAAAGCCUCAUGAGGAAACAUGCACGUGUCAGUGCUAAUUCCUCUGUGGGGCAUUCACACUCUUUUGUCUCUCUUUCUUUCUGGGGGUAAAGAGAGAAAUCACACUUGUAACAGGUGGAGCAUUCAGCAGCAAACAGGGUGUUAAUAGAGUGUAUGAAGGUCUGUGUGGGCCUCACACCUUCUCCCUCUCAACAUAAACUCUAGAAACAACAGAUGGAUUCACACAUUUACGCAGACAUCCUCAGAGGCGGGUGAAGUUUGAGGAGCGUUUGUCAGCCUCUCAUGAUCCGGUAGUUAAAGGGAUAUUCCGGCGUAAAAUUAAUUUAGGGUCAAACACAUAGUAACACCGAGUUAGACACCCCCUUGAGAGAUAAGUGUUGCUGACCGCUUGCUUCUCUAAUUAUACUAACUUAGGUAGCAACCACACAUGAGCAAUACACAGCGGUCUACAUCUCCAUGCGCAAACCUCAACCAAAACGCCACUCUAUAGCCACAAAUAAUGCUCAGAACAGCACCUAACUUCAUCAACAGUACAUAUAGGGUCCCAGUCAUAGUACUAGCCACCAAACAUCUUUUUAACUUCCCCUGAUUUCUUUAGCAAAGAGACUAAAAACAACUCACCCACUCUCCUCCAGCAGCCACUUGUUUGUCGGGGAGCCCUGACGAGUCGAUCACAGAGUGCAGCGGAUCAUUUCCAUGAAGAACUAAUCACCAGAGUAGUUCUUCUGCCUUAGCAUCUCAAUCAUUUCUUUCCAUAAAGUAAUGAUCAUAAAUGUUCUUCCUUGAGCUGUGAAACUCCUCUGCACUUGGUGAUCGACUCGUCAGGGCUCCCCCACAAACAAGUGGCUGCUGGAAGAGAGUAGGUGAGUUAUGUUUGGUCUCUUUGCUAAAGAAAUUAGUCAAAGUUAAAAAGAUGAUUGGUGGCUAGUACUAUGGCUAGGACCCUAUAUGUACUGUUGAUGAAGUUAGGUGCUGUUCUGAGCAUUAUUUGUGGCUAUAGAGUGGUGUUUUGGUUGAGGUUUGUUUAUGGCUCCUCAGACCGCUGUGUAUUGCCAUCAUGCGGUCGUUACUGAAGUUGGUAUAACUAGAGAAGCAAGCGGUCGGCAACAUUCAUCUCUCGAGGGCGUGUCUAACUCUGUGUUACGGUGUGUUUGACCAUAACAUAAAUUUAUGCCGGAAUAUCCCUUUAAAACACAGUUGAAGGAAUCAAAUUUACAUUUUAUGACAUAAAACAAUUACAUUAUUUUACAUUGUGUCCUCAGACUUCUCUCAACAGUGGCACCAAACCCAGAAUCCAAACAGACAAUAUCGAAAACCACUUAUUUUUUAAUGUCCAGACCUUGUGAAUCAUGGCUACACACUGAGAUUAGAGUUUACCAGUCCCGUCAGACUACAAACUGUUUUUGUAAUAUGGUUUUGUCUCCAUCCUGCAUCUCUAAAAGUCCUGUUUGUCCUCCGAUCAGUCCUUUAACCAGCAGAGCUUAAAUUUUGUCAACUUUGCUGCUUUCCUUUCCAACGACGGCACCCGAACGAACCUCACAUCCUGUGUGCUUGUGUCGAACGAGGCGCUUAUCAAAACUGGAUCUUAUCGUCUCUUCAUGCACAACACUUUCACUCUGCUGCGGCGGCCGCUGACAGAGGGCCAGCAGCAUCAGGGCAGGACCACAGCCAGAAUUUCCCCUGAGGAGCGAAGCCUUCGGGCUGUGGAGUCACAGUUUACAAUGCUGGGUUUUCUCCAUUUCAUGCUCUCAUACUCUCCAUUGUCCCCGAGCUUUCACAGCUCCCCAUCCGAACAGCUUCAAAAGAUCAUGUGACAUUGCCUCAUCCCUCUGUUUGCAAGAACGCCCUGCUUUUCGACCUCCACCCUGUUUUACUGUGCUUUUUCCAAUCUUUUAAACAUAUUAUGCACGCUAUCUGCUUUUGCACUUUUCCUCUAUCUCAGACUCUAUCAUUCUUCAGCUCUCUUGGUUUCCUCGUGUAAACAGGGAGUGUAUUGUGCUUCUGCAGAUCUUGUCUGUCCUCGGUGUUGACUGUUUUGUCUGUGAGUAAUGAUGGAUUCAGAUCCACACGUCUGCAAGGUGUAAAAGCAGACAUUUCCACUCGAUCUCUCGGAGUCUGUUUUGACAGCGUGUAAACAACAGAGAUGCUUGGUUUUGUCGUGCUAUGACUGCUUGUCCUCCUCGAAGUCAGGGUGUUAAAUUUAGAGAUGAAUGAACAAAGUUUUUGUUUUAGUUUCACAAAAGUUUUGUUAUUUUUAGGUGUGGAUGUGGUUUAAUGCCAAAAUAUAUCCCGAUCAUGAUGCUCAAAAGCUCUUCUCUCUAUGAAUCAGAGGUUCUACCUGCAAAGAUCAUUAUUAUCAUGUUCAGGCGACUUUACAUUAAAGGGAUAGUUUCACAUUUUUGAGGUAGGGGUCGUGGUUCAUGCUGUUGCCUCACACGGAGACGGUUCCUGGGUCACUCCCAGGCACCUCUUUGUAAGGAUUUCGCUCUUUCUCAACAUGUAUUUAAGGUUUUCCUGCAGGUACUUGUUGUGGUUUUUCAUGAUUCAAAAUAACCCUCAGCCACAAGACAAAACAUUACAUGAGUGAGAGAGCCUUCUGACCCACGUGAGACUUAAUUUAGCAUCACAUAGGUGUGUCUCGUCGACUGAAAUGCACAGGGUUACAUCAUUUUCUUAUAUUCAGAAAGUUUGCAGCUCUCCUUUGUACACGUCAUCUCAGAGUUCCUCCAAUAUCAGAGCUCAUUCGACAGGCAAGUUUCAUUACUUUUGGAUAACCCUGAAAGAAAACAGUUCACAGAGGUGAUUCUAGAGUGUGCUGGGGCCCCAAGCAAAAAUUCUGAAACCAGCUAAAGAGGUCAAAAACAGAAACUUUUUAAAAACAAUCAUCAGUAUUACUACAUAACUUGAAAAUUGUGCUCUAAAAUAACUACAGCUCUGGUAUGUUUUUACCACAAUAGCAGCACCUCACCUUUGAUCUAAGAUUUGAUGUCCGAGACUUUUGCUGUAUUUGAGUUACCUCGGAAGUCAGAUGUCGGAGCUGAAAAUGACGUCACACCUGAGUUCCCAGGGUUUCAGUUACCAAGUCGGAAAAAAGCGAAAUCGGAGGCCUGAAACAAGAUGGCUACAUCUACGAAAGUUAUUUUAGUGCUUGCCUUAUAUUCAGACAAGAAUUUAAAUGCACCAAAAUCAGUUUUACUUCUCAUCACUGACAUGGACCACACUCUAUUUAUUAAAAAAAUUCAUCUAGGUCAUUUUAUAUGGGAAAUAUGUCAAUUCUGUGUUUAUUUUUACCGUUAAAAUUAACAGUGAGAUGUUGCACAAAAACUGUCAUAAAAAGGGUAAUACAUCAAAUUUUUUAAUUAUUUUUUAAUGGUCAGGACUGAAGAUGUUUAAGAGAUAUGAGUCGAAAAAAAGUUAACAAAAGAGAAUUUUAUGAACUCUUACCUGCAUGUCAGUUUUGGAGACAAAGUAGGCUGGAUGGAGCUUAAAAUUAACAGAAACCAAGGGUUAAUGGGGUUGCAAUAUUUAGGACAUUUUUGUAGAGUAAGGCUCGUCAGCCCUUGUGGGUAAUAUUCUGAUAUUACUUUACAUCUCUGCACACUGACGUUGUUGCUGUCUGUUCUGACUUCCUAACUCUAGAUUUGCUUCGACAUCAUGUCGACAGAAAACACUCAGACCAGUAAAUUCUGCACAGUCAAGCUGAAUCAAAUGAAUCAAAACAACUCAAAGACACUCUGAAACUGAGUUGUUAUUCUCUGUGGCAGACCUGGCUCUGCAGUCCUACAGUACGCUGAAGCUAAAUGUCUGCCUUAGCAUAAAGAAAACAUGAGUGGAGUCAAUCUUGAAUAUAUUUCCCAAAGAGUGUGAGAGUUCUUGUUGGUACUCUGCCCUCUAACAGCUGUUUUUCAUCGUUUUAGGAUACCCUGAUGGGAAAUAAGAUCCCCCCUCGACUGUAAGGUUAAAAGGUUCACCCUCUUCUUCCUCUAAAAGUUCUUCAUAGUGGCGCUGAACUCUUCCCUCUGGUGCGCAUGUAUGUUUGCUUAAAGGGCAGCGAAACUCCCAGUUGCAUAAUCCAAUAAGAGGAUCGAGCUUUUAAAGUAUCAGAUAUGACACUGGGGGUUUGUCAGAGUGAAAUCUCUUCAGUCCACAGCUGUGAAUUUGUGACCACAGGACGUGAACGUGGCUGCUUUCACAGCUCCAGUCAGAGUGGAAAACUACACUCAACUAUUGUGGUCAUGUGGUUUGGGCCUUGGCUGUGAUUCGUGAGCACUCAGGCCAGAUCACCUAUAGUAAAUCACUGCAGAGCUUGACCAAGAGUUUCUGCGUUGUAAUUAAGAUUUUUACAGGCGUUUAUUCUGCGCACAGACAGAUAUUCUGACGUGCAAACACGCACAUUUAUCAUGUACACACUGCAUGGCUACUAAUGUCUUUUGGAGCCGCAUAUGCGCACACAAACAGCUCCACGUGCAGCUUUCUGAAAUGAGUGUUAUUGUGAAGUGGCUAAACAGUCAUCACUCUCUGGACCUGUGAUUUAAGGAUCACUGUGUGACCACGCUAGCACUGUCAUCCUCCACACACUCACUGUCACCAUUUACACUGCUCUACGUCUCACUCAGCACUGAUUUUACCAUAACUUAAGUAUUGGUAAUGCUGACAGCUAAAUGAGCCAGUCAAACCCCUGCUGUAAUAUUUCAUACACAUGCCCAGUAUCAAGUCAGACAGUGUUCGAAACUGACAUAAAUCACCAGAGUGAAAUUUUUACUGCUUUGAGCCUCCCAAAGGCUUUUACUGCUUUGAGCCUCUUUUUUUUUAACGUUGUUUGUUUUUACCUCUUUGUAAAGCACUUUGUGUUCCCAAAGGGAUAUUCCAGCAUGAAAUUAUUUAAGGUCAAACGCAUCAUAACACCGAGUUAGACACCCCCUCGAGAGAUGAAUGUUGCAGACCACUUGCUUCUCUAGUUAAACCAACUUUAGUAACGAACGCACGAUAGCAAUACACAGCAGUCUGAGGAGCCAUAAACAAACCUCAACCAAAACAUCACUCUAUAGCCACACAUAAUGCUCAGAACAGCACCUAACUUCAUCAACAGUACAUAUAGGGUCCCAGCCACAGCACAAGCCACCAAACAUCUUUUUAACUUUGACUAAUUUCUUCAGCAAAGAGACUAAACACAACUCACCUACUCUCCUCCUGCAGCCGCUUGUUUGUAGUGAGACCUCUGGCCAGUGCAUUACGGACUACAGCGGGGUGACGCAGCUCAAGAAAGAACAUUGAUGAUCAUUUCUUUAUCAUUUCCUUGAAGAAAUAAUCACCAUAUUAAUCAUUUUGCACUGCAGACACGGUAGUUCUUCUUUAAUUUUUUUAUACAUAUCCAUGUAACAUUUGGCUAAUUCUACCCAGAUAUUGAGAGAAAAAUCCAUACUAAUUUAUGUUUUUGUGGAAGAAAUACCCAGGAUUUAAUGUAACAACAAUGCACUAAUGUGAAAGGAGUAAUCUGUAGACAUGGACCUGUAGAUACUUUAGCUACACAAUAAAUUUCAGCUCUUUAUUUUGGUUUCACUUUGCACAACACCUUCCGAAAGCAGAUGAUUUUAGUUUAAAAAAACAAUAAAAUAAGGUUAAAGGUCCAGAUAUUUCCUCCAGUCUUGAGAAAGUGAAAAUGCUGAAAUCUGCAGUUCCUCUAGUGUCCACUUGAGGCUGACUCCAAAAGUCCAUGAAUCCACAUACACACCCAUACUAAAAGAAACAUCUUCACGUCAAAAAAUAACAUGAUUACAUUGCCAGGGUUAAAUCACACUUUAGGGGUAGGAGAGCGUUUUUAAACUGUAAAUCUGAUUUAUUGUGAAAAUACUAAAGCUAUUAGUUUUGCAUAAUAAGGGGCACUGAAUAUGAUGGUAUACUAUAAGUAAAUAGAUAUUGAGGCGCACUUGUUUGACUGAAAAGACCAAUAGUUGGCAAAUUGGUCACAGUGGGUUAGUAUAGGCCUCAAAAUUAUCAAUGCAACUUAUAUAAUAAGUUUUACGGUAAUAUGUCAAACAAAUAUUUACAUAAUACAAACACUGUAGCUCCGUAAUUUAAUAAAAUUAUCUUUGCAACUUAAAUUGAUCAUCAUCUUUUCAUCUUCUUGAGCAAUUACUUUACCCUUCCUGUUUUUGAUCAUUCUGCAGCCAAGUCCUUAAAAUCCCAUAUGAGCUUUUUAUGAAAAAUAUAAAAACAAGCAUUUUUCUUUAUGCAAAUUCUAUCCUGACAAGUAUAUUUAAGACUAACAAGUAGAUUUAUUCAGAGUUUAUGUAUACCAACCAGGCAUGGGUAAGUAACCCAACACUCAGUCAAAACAACACCUCAGUUUGUCUGUUUUACGGGGUAGAGUCGGCCCAGUCACUGCAUUUGUUCAAGUGCUUUUUAAGUGUGCUAUUCAAAUGUAAAACUUUGAAUGACUUUUUACUAUUUCCUUUCACAGCAGAGGCCAAAAGAAGAGAUGACCCCUACCUGCAGCACCAGCUUUUGUUAACUCCGAGCUAGACUGCAGCUCAUCAAGCAGACCACACACGGAGAGAGGAGGAAGCGCCGCGCCGAAAGAGAGAGAGAGAGAGAGAGAGUGGAGAGGAGUUCACGCUCGUGUUAUCACAGAGGGUGAAAAAUGAAAUGCUGAGGAGUUUUUUCCACCGUAAAAACUCAUAAUGUAUGUCCACCACCUCCCCAGCAGUGUCACACAUGUUACCCUUUGCAUCUCUCAUCCUCGGCGCUGCGCUCUCUCUCACAAUGUUGCUGUUAAAGUGAGUUUGGUUUAUUUUCUUUUUAUAUGGAGUUUCCAUCAUGCUCCACUCCCUCUGUGGUUCCAGAGCGGCUGGCCAAAUGGCAAUAAAAUGCUCAAAGGACAUCAGAGAGGGAAAAGGAGACUUAUUUGUUAGCCUAUAACAAAAUCCCCAGUAGUUGCAUGAGGCAGUGAACUUGUGAGAAUAAAGGGGGUAAAGCUCUGCCUCAGUGCCGAUGUAAGAGCUAAGAUAAGUGGUCCAGCAGCGAGUCGACCAACCUUAGACAACUGAAUGAAAUCAGUCAACUGUAAUUUUGUUGUUAGAGAGCUAAUUUUACAUUUAAGCUCAAUUAAAACUCAAUUAAAGUUCUAAAAACAUGCGAAAAAACAGCAGAGAUGGAGUAAGCUCGUUAAAGAACAAGGACACAGCUAAAGUAGAAGCAGCUUUGGUUACACAGAAAUGCAUGCAAAGUCAUCAUGAAACAUGUGCUCCCACUGCUGUGUUUGCUAAAACCAUGGCUUUGAAGUGUGAGUGGAAUGAUUGGGGCUAAGUUAAGAUUUUCCUGCCGUGGGCUCCAUUUGGAUGUGACGUGAAUCAAAACUGAAAGCAGAUUUUUGUCUGUUUCUUUCGUGGCACAUGGAACAUUUUUAUAUAAACAGUUGUGACAAAUCUGUGUCAGUGUGCUCCUCGUGUCUCUGCCUCUCUCCUGUCAAUGAAGAAGACUUUUUUCUAUGUAUAUAUGACACCAUCUAUGGUUAUUGCAUAUCUGUUAUAUUUCCAUCUUAAAUUCCCAUUUUUUGUGGGAGUCCCUGAGCUCCAUCAUGUUGUAGCUUCCUGUUUUCCUGCUGCUUCAACUACCAGCAUCAAUCUCACCUGUCCAUCUCUCUUUCUGCAUCUCCCUCUAGAUCCUUUGCAGUCGAGGCAGAUGACUGUCCUGACAUGAGUCUGGUUCUGCUUGAGGUUUCUGCCUGUUUAAGGAAGUUUUUCCUCUCAGCACUCGUGCUACACUCAUAAAGAUGAAGAUGCAAUUGGAGUGAGUCUGAUCUGACAAGGUGGGGCUCCAUCUUACACCAUUUUACAUCAAGUCUUUUUCGUUUCGUUUCAUUUUUAUUUGUUCCACUCAUGGCCAUUAUUGAGCAUUUUCAUAAAUACAAAAGGCAUUUAACAACUGUAGCACAGCACAUGACUGGAAGAGAGCAGGUAGAAGACAAGGCGUAUUUUACCCGCUCACUCCAAACAGAAAUAAACAAUAACUAAAGAUGGUCCGUCCACUUCAGGUUUUUUUCCUGUAACUUUACAAACAAUAUUACAACCACAUAAAAGGAGACACGCAAACAAAAGCAAAGUCAGCGUCACAAAAAACUACUAAAAAAAGCACCUGAUGGUUGGAGCCCUUCUUCCUCCCUGUACCUUCACACCUUCUAAAAAUUCUUCACAGGUGCUUUAAGUUAUUUUAUUCAGCCUGUUAUCUGUUGUUCAUUUUAAUACUGUUGCUGUUGUUAUAACGGUCGGUUCAUUUUUAACAUCAUUUCUGUCCAAACAUUUUAAUUUCAUUUUUACAAGUAUGGACCCCUGAUGAGUUGCUGUUACUUUAGCAGAGACUAAUGUAGAAAUAAAUGACAAAACUAUAAAUAUAAAUGCAAAUGAGUGCGUUAUUUCCAUUUCAUGCGACUCUGCACAACAAUAAUUCGCUCAAAAUCUGAGGUCUGGACUAAAGUGGUGGUUUUGGUGUUCACAUGAAUUGAAUUAAUGGAUUUACGCUGCAACAGUUUCAGUCAUCAAACUAUUAUCCUUCGUUUCCUCGACCUGACGCCUGCUGAAAUGAGACGUCAGUGUGACAUGAUGGAAUACCGUACAAACUCUCUCCCAGUACGUUAUUCCAGCUCUGCUUUCUGACCUAAACUGUGACCAGGUCAGCCCACAGCUCUUGAGGUCAAACAGCUGUAAGAGUACACAUUCAUCUCUGAGCACUGGGUUGAACCGGCCUCAACCUCCCCUCCUAACUGUCUGUCCUCCCCUUUGCUGCGCUGGCAGCCGUGCCCCUAGAAUAGGCAUGUAAACCAUGUAAGCCUGACACCAGUUGUUUUGACUGAGAGCACUGAGGCACUGACUUAUUGUGCAACACAACUCAGGGCCCUCAGUCCUGGUGAGCCAUAUCGCCAAAACCCCCUCUGUAAACCCCAACCCUUCAAACUCCAAAACUGACCUUCACCAGAUGGAAUUUGGGAGCAGUUUCUCCAGAAAGGUGCGGUUAAUCAUGUCAGGAGAAAACCUGAUACUCACAGCUGUGAUAGUGUUCCUGGGAAAGCAACACAGAGUCGAGUCAGUUUGAUAACUUUGAUAGUUUUUAAGCAGAGAUCCAGACCUGAAUCAGAGCCAUGAAUGGAUAAACAAAGGGGAAGACACCUCUAAGAUAAUCCUUAAGAUUCAAAGACAAGAUUUAAACGGUGUUCAGCUAGUUUUAAAACUGUUUAAACAAAGAAGUACGUCACAUAUUAGCCAAACAAGUUAAGAUAAAGAGGCUGUAAAUGAUUCGGAAACACGGUUUAUCAUUAUCAGUGUGAGUGCGCUGUCAGACUGGUGUUAGUAUUUAGUGAAAACACAACAAUGUCAAAGAAAAACCUUUAAAAACAGCCACUAUGGAGGUAGUCUUGUGUUUGCAUGAUGGGUGUUUGGAAAGACCUGAACGUAAAGAUGUGCCACAACCUUACUUGUCAGAGCUACGAGGAAGAUUACAACGUAAAGCCAUCAUACGGUUUUAUUAAGAGUUUCACCAAAUCAUAACUCUCGCUAUUCUAACUUUUUUAAAAUCUGUUUUUGGAGGUUUUAUACUUUAAAACCCUCCACGAGCCAAGAAAAUAAUAUAAAAAUCCCAAUAUGUCAUUCAUUUGGUGGCAUGUGUAUCCUUCAAGUAAAAGCGUAUGAGAAAGGCGUGUUGUUGUACUUCAUGGAUGUCAUCUUCAGGUGCUGGAUCAAGGGUUUCUUAGAGCAUCUACCAUCUUUGUAUUAAUCCAAAACUAGCUGCCCAAUAUGUAGGGCUGGGAAAUAUGGAAAAAAGUUUAUCACAAUAUAUUUUUUCCAUAUCAGUCGAUAUUGAUAUAUAUCACAAUCUAAAAAAUGAAAUUUAUUGGUAGCAUGUCUUUUGCAAUAUAAUAAUCUACUACAUCCAUGAGGUCUUUGUGAUUGUGUUUGAGAAAAUGGACUGAAUGGUCGUCUGUUUCGGCUGCACAGGCGCCAUGGACUCCUUGCUCCACUCGGGGUUUGUAACCUUUUGCAUUGUGCGUGCUCUGUCGUGUGUCACUGCUACAGGUGGUGAAAAGAUUUGAGUUUAUCCCCGACUUUACGAGAACAUGUACUCGACAUAAUUUGCAGUACACAUUACUCUGCUUCAUGUCCGACCACCGACGUUUUCGUGCCAGUGUUGUCGACGAUGUUGUCACUUGUUGAGCCUUGCAUUUCUGCACUCAUUUUCUAAUUUUCUCACCAACAGUACUGUCAGCUUCACGUGUUAAAGUUCUAUGGUUGCGUGUAGCUGCAGCCUGCUACUAUGCAGUUGUUUGCUACUUGGUUCUAAUUCCGCGAAGUGGACCUGGAGCAACUCCCCUUUUCAUUGGCUAUUCGUAUAGUCUACUAAAACAUCUCAGAAUGACGACUAUCAAAAAGCAUAUUGACCAUGUUUUAUAAUGAUAUUGAGGGAAAUUAAUUUUUGACAUAUAUAUUGUUAUCAUUUUAUCACCCAGCCCUACAAAUGUGUAAACAUAAAGUAGCACAUAUAUGAGUAUUUCAUCACAUCACAGCUAAUUGGGGAGCAAAUCCAGUAACAGCUGACUCAAAUGGAAUGAGAGGGAAGAGCAUUUCUUAGCUCAAUGGCUUAAAGUGAUACCAGCAUUACUUUAGAUUCACUCUAGCAUCUUUAAACCAGCUCACUGAGACAUACAGUAUAACAUAUAGAAAUAAUCAGAUGCUCUUUUCGCAGCGUAAACUUGUUUCUGUUGGUUAUUUCAUGUCCAUCCUGGUCCUUCUUCUAUUUCGUUGCACAGACCAGCAGCUGAGGAAUACUUGUGGUUAUUUGUGUGAACUCUCCAGUCUGACCGUGUCUGUCCUCGUGCCUCCUCACUGUGUUUGUGCAACACUGCUCAACUCAGUGGACACAGCAGGGUGUGUCACACCGCUGCAUGCUUGUUACAUUAACACGCAAACUCAGAAAAGUCUGACCGAGUUAUAAGACAGGCUGCUCUUGUCUUUAUAAGAUCGCUGUUUUUCUGGUGCUGAAUCUCAUGUGGACACAGAGGAGCGAGAAACUAAAGUGGAUUAUUUAAUUGGGUGUAAUGUAGAACAAUUCAAAUUCUCGGUGAGAGGUUAUAAAACGUUCCAGAUGGAGAUGGUCAGAGACUAAAAAGGGGGAAACCGAUCUUCCCACUUGGGCCACAAGAGUGCCUUUUUGAUUAGCCUCCAUUUGUUCCUCAACGACACCGCUGAUUAAAGCAGCUUGACUCUGAACUGUUUCUGACAUCUGAGGGGGAUCCUUGUGAGAUUUACAGAAUGAGGGCCAGGACUCUGAGACCUGAGCACACUUGUGUUUUGUUGGUGUGGUCUCUACCCUUCCCAAAUUAUCCCCUCACAAUUCUUUUACUGCCCAGAUAAUGAUUCAUUACGGCUGCAGAGCUCCACACAGUGAUUUAACAACUUUUGAUUCCAGUAAAGCCCAGCCUGCAAACCUCGCCAAUAAACAAACUACUGUAAUUAGGCUACUUAAAACCCGAAAAAGUUGGAUUUUUCAAUGCUCCGUCAUGGUGGUCUUCGGAGAAACAAACAGACUGACAGACUUGUGGGCUCGGGUACAGUAUGAUUUUGUAACUUCUCAAAUAGUUUGGGAGCCACCCAUGGUUCAAUAGAUGAUGUGAACAUUAAAAUAGAGCUGACGGAUCAAAAUGUGAAAUAUCUGGAUACCCUGGGGUUAUAAAUUUCUGCAGGAGAAAGAGUAGAUGUUGGCCUUGGACCAGGAUUGUUUGCCAUGUCAGUGUAGGUUUGUGGGUGGUUUGGUUCACCACUUUGGUCCAGACUGAAAUAUAAUCGACAACUAUUGGAUGGAUGGUUUUAGAAAUCGGUUAAAAACAGUCUUAGGCAAUGUAUUUUAAUAACUUUAGUGAUCCAAUAACAUUAAAUAUAAUUGCAUCCUGGGAAUUACAUUUGAGACUCUUGGUAAAUGUCUUAAAACUUGAGGAUUGAUUGUCAUAAAAUAUGGUUUAUUAAGGGAUUUGAUUACCCGCUGUAACUAAGGAAGACCUGACUGACAGAAACGAAAAGAGACCCUCAGGCAGCAACGAGAACCGUCAGAGAGCCAGCAGGUCAUUCGGAGUCUGAUGCCGUGAGACAUCAGAUGGCACAGCGGCCGAACGUACUGCAGAAGAAGGACCAGGAGAAAGAGACGGACCUGGAGAGGAUGAGGACUAAGAUCACACAUCAGCUCCAGCAAAACAUCAACAACUCUCCAGCAGUGAACUUCAGAGGCACAAGGAGGACAACUGGAGAAGGAUGAGGCUGUGGGGGGAAUAUGUUUGGAGCAUCAGCCUUUGCUCCUUAACAUCAACUACAGUCUGCACCAAAACCAGAGCCAGAACCUGAGCCAAUGGAGGAGUCUGGAGUGUCCGGAGAAGGUCCUUCGACUUCGCAACAGCCACAUGUGUGCAAACAACCAAGACACUACAUCAGCCUGAAAAAGCUGCAGAAGCAGAAGAAGAAACAGUUCUCCACUCAUCCUCAUCUCUCCUACCCGAACUCAUCCUCUUCCUCAUCCUUCUCCUCCCUUUCCUUAAACCAAACCCAUCCUCUUUCUCAACCUGCAAACGAAUAUUUAAAAAAUAUUCAAAAUGAAUAAAAAAACUAACAAAAAACA